UUUUUUUUUUUUUUUUUUUUGUGGUUCGUUGGGGGAAUAGUGUGGUGGGAUCCACGGCACUAUGAUUCACGUUGUGGGUCCCAACUUUGUAUUCGGUGGCCACGUUAUACUGCAAGAGACACAAAUAAUAUUUGACUUUGAGUAACAUCAAUUGAAAUCAAUUAUUACUCUUUUCGUCCCAUUAUAGUUUUAGUUUUUUUUUAAUACAUAAAUUUAAAAAAAAUAAUUAACUUUGUUAAAAAAAUAAAUUUACGUUAUUAUUUUUCUAAAAUACCUUAUAUUAAAUAAAAUAUUAAUUUAUAUUAAUUAUUCAUGAAAAUUUGAAUUAAUGAAUUAUGAAAACUUGAAUUGACAGUUAAGAAAGAAUCAAUCCUCAUUCAUAUAUCACAUGUUUUGAAAAAUCUAAAUAUUUUAAAUGAGAUAUGUUAUAUCCAAUAACAAUCUAUAUUAAAUAAGUUAGUUUAUGCUAAUAUCAACCUACAUUGAAUGAAAAUAUUUUCAAAUAAUUAAAAAAUAAAUACAUUUUUCAAUUAGAAAAUGGACUACAAUUAAAUGGCAAAGCCAGGAAGUUUCUUCAGCAAGAGCACUUUACAUUUAUUAUCGUAAAAUCUCUUUCUUCUGCUUCCACGGAAAUUCCAAUUUGCAUUUAUUAUUGGAAAAUCUUUUUCUGCUUCAGCGGAAAUUCCAAGGCGUUAUGUUUUUUUUUUAAAAAAAAAAACUCAGUUGAAAUCAAAUGACUAAUCGGACAGACGGAGGAGAGGAGACCGGAGAGGGAGGGAGGCGAAUACUCUUCCUAAAAUGUUUACAUACAUACAGAACCAAGGCAUAACUGCGGUGGUGGUUUGCUCCAUUGCUACUCUGGAGAAAAUGGACGACAUAACAAUUAAUCUCAGUCAAUACUGAAAAGAAAAAAAUGACCACCGGGAAACUGCAACAACCAGUGCAAUCCUAUCUAUGGAGGAGUAUGUGGUGGGCGAUACCCUGCCCUGCAUAUGAGUGUAGCAGUAACUGGUAGGGUGACAGAAGGAGAAAGUCUCAGUGUGAGUGUGAUGGAUGAUCGAUCACAAGUAAUCCAUGGGAAGCUCCCAUUCAUCAGCCCGCUCCACCACUUCUCCAGGGAACUUCCCCCUGGCCCUGGACAAGUUUCUCUUCCCGCUUCCCCCGUAUCCACAACAUUCUUCAAACUCAUCAUCAUCAUCAACUGACCCGCCCAUCUUCUGACCGCCACCCCAAAACCCCUGUGCCAGCACCCGUCCGUCAAUCGUCAAUCGUAUAAUUCCACAUCUCAAAUUUAGUAACCGCUACUAAAUAGUAGCACCAAAACUUGAGCAAAAACGGGUGUACUCAUUUUGAGCCGAAUCCUCUUCUUCGGCUUCAGAGCUCACCAGCUUGCCUCAUCAAUUUCUAUGCUUUUGUUUCCUUUUGCAUGCAAAUGCAUCAUGCACAAGUGAAACGGAAUAUACUACACUACUUUUACCCCAAAGAAAGAGACAGAAUAUGUGGUGCUGUGCUCAACCCUGAUUCGUUUCUUUUAUAUUUGAGCUUCUCCAUCGCAACAAGUAUAUAGGUGCUUUGUUAUGAUCCUCUUUUGCUUCUAUGCUUUAAAGCCCAUCCGAGAUUUAACAUUUGCUAAAACAAACUUUCACCACAAAUGGAUACCAAGGAACAAGCUUAAAGAAACCAUCUUAGUCCCAACUGAAACCAUCUGAGAGUAUCAAGCAAAGACAACAUUUAUUUACCUUAGUAAGCCUCUGGAUGCGUGAUGCUGCAGCUUCAUGUACUACAACAGUGUCUGGUAAAACUUCCAGCACAUCCUCAACCAAUAAUGCAUAGGUGCUCACCUGUAAUACAGCAGCAAAGCAUCUGAAAUCACAUCCAAAAUCCUCAAUUCAGCAUUUACCAGAUCAUGGAAUCUUGCUUCAGUUAAACACAGUGAAAACACCAAUAAAGGAAAGAAUGAUUUUCAGAAUCUGGUAAUAGUAGUGUAAAGCACGAUUCACCAACCAAACUUGACGGGAUGAUGGAUAUCCCAAAUGAAUCAAUCUCAAGAGACUCCACUACCCCAGAGUUAAUGUCAAAAUUGUAUCCACGCACCUGAGAAGCAAAUAAUUGCCAUAUGAUCCCAGAAGUACUCGAAAUUAAAGGCCUCAAAAGCAUGAGAAGACGUUGGAAGAGUGGUGACUUACUUUUCCAAUAUUUCGCCGACCUGGAGUUGCAACAGUAUAUCCUACCUAACAGACAGCAUCAGUUACCAUACAGAUUUGGCAAACAAAAGGGCACAUUGGCAUAUUAUUGACUGGAAAGGGCAAGAGUACUUUAGAGUUUCGACAUGGAACAUCAUGAGAACUAAUCAAUGUUUGUAUCAACAAUUUCAUUUUCUAUACAUUUCUUUGGAAAUUUUGCCCAGUGGUCUGGGGUCAAAGAAAUGAAGCACUUCACCAUCAAUUGUUAUGUGAAGAGCAAUUUAAGAAUUUUGAGUAGCAAGAGCAUAAAAGAGUAGAUUGUUAGAUUUAUCUUCACAAAGGAUCACAAAACGACUACGCAUAUGUACUUGGCUUGGAGAGAGAAUAACGGCUCUAUGAGUACUGACAGCCACUAAACAGUGGAUCCUUUUCCUACCCGUACAGUUCCUUGUUGGAUGCCAGGUAUUUUAAUUACGUUCAUUGAAUUGCUUGAAACAUUUCUAAAAGAGCAUGAAAUGGCUCCUCUCUUAUCAGUCAAUAAUAGAUGAAAUGUAAAGCUUCAGGAGAAACAAUUGUUCUUACAGGCAUAAAAGGAUGCACUUAGAGUGCAAAUGACCGAGAUUAUUAGUAUAUAUGACGAACAGGAGGGAAAACUAGACCUCCAGUGGUUGAGCUAUCUCAGUGGUCUAAUUUGAUGGAGUAAACACCCUCCGGAAUCUUUGUGCAACAUGUGAAGCCAUAUGCCUACCCCUUUCCACAUAUUGGCAUAAACUGAAGCAAAUAAAAAGCUAGUAGAAAGUACCAGCGUCUCGAAUCCAAUUAAUUUAAAGUCAUUUUCCAUCACACUCUCAUCUUCAACGAGCACCACAUCCCCAACCUGGGAUGAAUGUCAUACAAAUAUGUUAAUAGGGUAUCAAAAUCACUGUAAUAGCCACAUUACCGUUGGAAUAAAUUUAAAUGCACAAGAGUAAGCUUUAAGUUGAAGAACGGCAAAUAUCCACAAUUUCAUACAUGUUGAGCACGCGGACUUAAUGACAUUUACUAUUUGAAGAAACUCAGUAGGAGAACUGGAGAACAUGAUCGACAUGAUGGUGACAAUUGACAGGGCAUCAAGCCAAUCUUGAAACUAAAUAAUUAUUUUGGGGUGUAAUAGUAGCAAAAUAUCAAAUUUACUGGCAAAUAGAAAGGAAAAAUAAUCAAUUCUGUAAAGAGAAGAGGAGGUAGCGCACAGCUCUAAGUGUAAUGAAAUAAAAACCUUCGCAAGCUCGUCCAAGGAAAACCUUUCUAGCUCACUGGAAAGUAAGUUUGGCUUCACCUCUACAAAUAACACCGCCCACUGCCAUGGUGAAAAGAACAAAAAAAAAAAAAAGAUAUCAGCUCCGUGUCAUGCUACUACUACUGAAUGCCAGAGGAAUGAAUAUGUCCUGCUGGUUACUGUAUGAGCUCUUAAACUAUCCAGCAAGCUAAAAGAUUAAAAAGGCUACCAGGCAGCUUUAGGAGGAAAGAAUUCCCACAAACCGAAGUCUGCCAAGUAGUUGUAUUAUUGCGGCAGCGGCACAACAGAUAGUUCCAUGUGCAUAUUGUAAGCAUCAACCGGAGGCAAAUUGCAGUGAGAAUGAAUGACGAAAAUCAAAGAGGUAGAGAAUCAACUUGUGGGAUUCAGAAGAAAAUUUGAGAGAAAAUACUAGGCAGUAUAUAUUGAAGGAGGAAAGAAAGAAAUUAGUUGGUUGUAGUGUACGGUAGAAAAUAUAACCACUCACAGCAUUUGUAUCGACCCAGAGCUGGGAAACAAAACCCAGGGAGAGGGCGGAUUGAAUGCUGAUAACUUGCUUGGCGAUCAUAGUGGACCUCUUCAUGAUUUGCCUCCUCCUAGUCCCUUUUGCUAUCCCCUUGCAGACAACAGGACCACCGCUAUCUUCUUCUUCUUCUUCUUCUUCUGGCUUAGGCCAUCCCACAUCCAAUCCCUCCUCGUCCUCUCCUGUUGGCUUGCGCUCUCCCUCCUUGCCGCCCUUGUCGCCACCUCUUCUAGUACUAAAAUGGGAGACGAAAUCGAGGGACUGGGAUUCGUCGCAAACUUUUCCAUCUCGUACUUCUUCUCUUUUAUAUUGGGUAUGCGUUGGAGCAGUCUUGUACGGACGAUGACUUUCCAGAAUGCUAUUGUGAUUCUCCUUCUUCUUCUUCUUCUUCUUCUUCUGCUUCUUGAACCCUAAUUCUUCAUGUUCUUGGUACAAGUUGUUGAAUUGGGAGUGGCGAGGAGAAGCUGAAAAAUGAGUCGGUUUUGAUUCUUGAAAUAAUAGGAACCGUCUGCAAUUGAAAAAAGCACUACAAGCAGUCAUACCAGUGAAGCUUGAAAAAUGCCAUGUGGGAACACUGCUACUCUUUUGAUGCAGUGGUGGUGGUGGUGGUGGCAGCGGCGCGCAGGCGAAGAGGGCCUGGGCGAAUCCCAUAAUUUCCUCUUUAAGUGGUCCGUUAUUAUUACUAAUAGUAGUAGUAUUAGUGCUUCUAAAUCCACGGAAUGUGUGAUUUGCACAAUAAAAAAGUUACAGACAUCCCAGCAUUCGUCAUCCACAUCCUCGGACUGUGAUUUGAUUUGGGAUCAGCACCGCAUCUGAUCAUCAUCGAUUUAUGGACUGUUCGGCUCAGCUCACGUUAUCCCAAUCCAAACUGUGUUACUUGCAAAAUAGUUCAUAACACCGAAUUUUAUCCUUCUUUAAACUUCCGUCCCUUUUCUCAAUUCAAGUUGAUAAAAUUUGGCCUCAACCAAAACUUCUUUUUUUUUUUUCUUGUAAGAAAGAGAUUGAAAUUAACCUAAACUUCUAAUCACUGUUUAGUUUAAAAUCACCAUGUUAUUCAUAUACAGUCAUUUUUUUAUAUAUAAAGAUAUCAAACCUCACUUUUUUAGAAAAAUAAAUAAAUAUGGUUCAGGUCAGAUUUCGUGUAUUUUUAAGGACAAUAAUGAAUAUGAAUCACGUAAUUUUUGUUUAACUACAAAUGGUAUCUAAUCUUUUUAUCUCUAGAAAAAAUGACCAUAUGUAGUCAUGCGAUGGAUUCAAAAUAAUAAGUGGUUAAACAUUGUUUCGAUUCCCUCAAAAAAAAAUUUCUUCUCCAUGAAUACUGAGGAGGUGAUUUUUGGGAGGCGGUUGAACCAGCCGAAAUCAGCCUCUUCUGAGGUGAGCUGUAUCUGUGUCCGAAGUGAAUGGCGGGGCUUCUCCCCUGGGAUCACUCCGAUGCUCAAGUUAGUAUGAGAACGAGAGAAAAGCAGUAGUAUUGUCAGAUGAACAGUAUACUUACUUGCGAAAUGUACAGGAGGGGUAUUUAUAGAGGGGGAGUAGAUGUCAGGACGGAGGGUUCAUGCUGGUGGGACCCAUGUCCUGACAUUACGGCUCUGUUCCCUGCCAGGAGGCCUGACUCUGACAUUGUAGCCGCCUGGGUUGGAUGACGGGGUCCUGCGCAGUAGUCAUUAAGAUCACCCAGUGCUUUUCAGAUAAAGCACUGGUCCUGGGCGUUGUCAGGGGUGUUGACAUCAUCAGCGUUUAGCCGAGGUGGUAGCCUGGGGUGCAGAGGUCAUCCACCGAGGAGACCAUGGACCGAGCCUAGCUCAGGGUCCGGAUCGGGGAACGGCUGUGUUUGUGUAGGAAACGAAACGAGGUCACCUCGGCCACAAGGUACUGCCGAGGUGAGCACCCUCAAUAAGCCCCCCAAGCCUCGGGAGCUCCGGGUUAGGGAGGUACCGAGGCUUCCUUGUGCCGAGGUCAUGAAGAGUUGGGGUCCCGAAACUGCUCCGGAAGAUGCGGGGACGAGACACGUGAGCGAGUCAGUUGACAGGACGUGGCCACUGGUAACCGUCGCGUCAUGAAGUAGUGGAACGUUUCGUGCAGGGGGAGUGUCAGUUGAAAGGACGGGUCAUUAAUGAGGAGAGAGAGAGGCACGUCCUUUUGAAUUCGAACGUGGUUGCCUUUUCGCAUUCUUGCUGCCUCUUCGGAUUCCCCCCGACUCCCUAUAAAUAGGGGGUCCUUUUCACCAUAUGGCCCAUCACUUUCUCUCUCAAUCUCAGACUUGUAAAAUUCUUGAGCGUCGCCGAGGUCAGUCCUGCCAGCCGAGAUAUCAACCGAAGUCAUCCACUUCGUCAGAUUCCGUAGUCAACAGUAAGUAUCUUUCUCUUCAUCUCACAUUCACUCAUGGCCAAAACGGCUAAAACCCACAAGGAAACUGUGAAACCGAGCUACCAGGCCGAGGAGGUGCCGGACACUUCGGAAGAUUCGACUUCAUCCAGUUCAACGGGGUCGGCACCUACCGAUGUGGAGGAAUCGGCCGAGGAAGAAGUGGCGGGGACCGCACCGGGGUCAGAGUCCUCAGAAAUGAGCGAGGGCGGUUCCGAUGUCGAAUACGACACCAAGCUCGGAACCGCAAUACCCCACGACGAGGGGGUGCUGGAGCCCGUCGCUCCAAGAGAUGUUGCCAACCUGGACUUCGGCAAGAUGCCGCAGUUCAGGAGCCGCGUGGGAAGAGACAGGGCCUGGAAGGUGAUAAGGAAGUAUCCCUUCAGGCCGGGGUAUCUCAUGACAUCGCCCGGGCCGGACGAUUCGGCCGAAAAGCCCCCCAUGGGCACAGUGGCCAUCUACCUUCAGCAGUUGGAGGCUGGGCUGAGGAUGCCGACGUCAAGAUUCCUCCGGGACGUGCUCCGUCACUUCGGCUUAAGAAUCACACAGCUCGUCCCAAACGCGGUCCGCAUUCUCGUAGGCUUCGAGAUGCUGUGCCGACAUCAAGAGGUGACCCCGACCGUGGACCUCUUCCGCCGAUGUUACACCUUCAAGGCACAUGGGACAGAUAAGGGAUGGUUCUAUGUCUGCAACCGGAACAAAACCAUCCCGAAGCUAGUCAUCGGCGCCCCCUCUUCAAUAAAGAAUUGGAAGCGUGACUUCAUAUUCGUCUCGGCCGUGGACUUCCCACGGGGUUUUUGGUGGAGGCCUAUCAAAUCGAAAGCCGACCCUUCGGCGGGGGAUCGUGAGGAGGAGUCCUUCCAGAAAUUGAUGGGGUCCGGACUUCGGAUCUUCAGCUGGGACCACCCCGAGGCCGUGCUGGUCGAUGGGGGAAUUAGCCGAGCUUUGAUCCCGCCUGACAGAACUCCCCUCAUUUUCGCAAAACUUAAGAUACCUUGUAAUUUUCUUUCAUAGCUUUGUUUGCACUUCGGCUAAGGCAUAUAAUAAUAUUUGUUUCUUGUGCAGUGACCAAAUUGUCCGAUAUCAUCACGUCGAGUCCAGGGGCCGAGGUGGCAAAAAGGUCGAAAAGAAAGAGUUCAGGCGAGAUAUCGGCGCCUCCGCCCAAGAAGAAAUCGCAAGGGCAGUCCUCUAAGCCUUCGGUGGAGAUGACCACCCCCACCACGGCAGCCCAGAGCAGCUCGGCUGCUGCGGCCACAGGCUCCGCCUCUUCGGUGCCAGAAGGGGUGCCAUUAGGGGUGACCACGACACUUCCACCUCGACAUGGCCGAGGCAAACAGUUGAAGUCUCCGGUCAACGCGGUGACGGCGUCCUCAUUAUGGAACCGUUACCAAUGCCCCCCGGUGUUUGCUGGGAAAGAAAAAUCUCACCCCGGCGAGCAUUGGUGUCCGGACUGGACGCUCAAGGUCAACGACCGAUGCAGCCACCCUCGGGUUGCACAAGAUCUGGUGAUGCAGUCCACAUUGCCGAGGGACUUGGAUUUCACCAGGAAGCUGACUCCUGCCGAGAUGCUCCAAAGCGUCAUGGUGACCACGGCCUCCAACACAGCCUUUGUGGCCGAGAUGACACAUCGGUACUGUGAAUUGCUUGAGGAGCAGGACACCGGCAAACUGCAAGAUCAGAUUGCCAAGCUGAAGAAGAAGCAGGUUGUGUCUGAGUCCGAGAAGUCUGAACUUCAGAGACGGCAUCAAGAGGCAGAGACUAAGGAGGAGGAGGCCGAGGCCACUAUCAAUAGUCUGAGGUCGGCUCUGGAGGAAGAGCAGAAGAGGUCAGAGGAUGCGAAAAAGACCCAUGAGCAGGCUCUCGAGAGCGCGAGGACCUCGGCUGUAGAGGAUUUCCGGAGGUCCGAGACCUUCAUCGGGGACCUCGGCCAGCUGUCGAGGCCGAGCUUCAUGCUAGGCUUCACUUCGGCCAUAGACGAGGCAGCAGCUCAUCUACCCUCUGAGGCUUUGGAGUCCUUGAGGAACAGUGCCCACUACAACGAGGACUCCAAGGAGCUGUGUGAUCGGAUGGCCGAGGGCAUCCAAGCAGGAAAGAACUUGGCCGAAGUCCAAGAUGAGUUCAACAAAUGGUUAGAUGAGCUUGACGAGGUCUUUGAAGAGGAAGGAGGAGAUGAAGCUGGUGGUGACGUCGGCGAGGAAGGUGCCGAAAAGCAAGGAGAAGGUGAAGCAGAUACUCACCCCGGCGGGGGAGAAGCCACGGAGGCAACUGGCCAAAAGGGAGCCGAAGCGGAGACUUAGCUCAUAGGAAAUUAGAUGUAGAAAGUAGGACCGAGGUGGGAGAUGCUUAGCAGUGCUCCUGUCCUCGGUCUUUGUCUUCUUUUUGUAAUGCCUAUUCUUCGUUAAAUGAAAUAUUCUUUCCUCAGCUUGGCUCUUUUAAUUUCAUGCUUCGCCCCCUGUUUGUCCCCCUUAUUUUUUAAUAACAGAUGUACGGCACAUUCGUAUUAAAAAAAAAAAUAACACAGCAGCUGAAACGAUAACUUAGUAAAAUCUUCAAACAUAAUACAGUCUGAGGUUCUCGGCAUGCCAAGUCCUCGGCACUAGAGAGCCAUCUCGGUAGCUCAAUUUACAAUACCCACUUAGGCUAGAUUCCACAACUCGGUAAGGACCUUCCCAUUUCGGGCUCAAUUUCCCUUGCGGCUCAGCUCGGCUGACUGAGUUUUUUCUGAACACCAAGUCUCCUGGCAGGAACCGCCGAUGCUUGACGCGGGCAUUGUAGUAGUGGGUCAGGAUGUUCUUGUAGGACGCUAUCCGAGCUGAGGCGAGGUCUCUUUUCUCGUCGAUGAGGUCGAGAUCUAACUGCCUCUCUUCUCUGUUCAUCUCGGCUACAUAGGCUGUUAGUCGAGGGCUGGGUGUGAGGAGCUCAGCAGGGAUGACAGCCUCGGCUCCAUAGGUCAAGGAGAAGGGGGUCUCUUGCGUGGAUGACCUUGGUGUGGUCCGAUAUGACCACAGAACACUGGGGAGUUCUUCCACCCAAGAUGAUCCAGUUCGGUGCAGUCGGGUCUUGAGGCCAUGCAAGAGAAUUCAGUUGAAAUUUUCUGCCUGACCAUUGGCCUGAGGGUGGCCUACCGAUGUGAAAUGUUGUUUGAUGCCGAGGUUUUGGCACCAAGCUUUAAAUGGGUUCUCGGCAAACUGUCUUCCAUUGUCCGAGAUGAUGAUCUGAGGUAUGCCGAAGCGGCAGAUAAUACAUUUCCAAAAGAAUUUUUGAAUGGCCAGCCCUGUGAUGGUCCGUAGAGGCUCGGCUUCAACCCACUUAGUGAAAUAAUCCACAGCAGUUACCAGGAAGGUAUAGCCCCCGACCGCUUUAGGGAAAGGACCGAUGAUGUCUGUCCCCCAUUGCUCUAAUGGCCAGGGUGAGGUGAUUGGAACCAUGAAUUUCGAGGGUUGGUGAAGCUCAGGGGCGUGGACUUGGCAGGAUGGGCAACCGAGAACAAGAUUCUGGGCGUCUUGUCGAAGGGAAGGCCAGAAAUAUCCAAGAAGUAAGGUCUUCCUGGCUAACAUCCGGUGGCCGACGUGAGCCCCACUCCAUCCUUCGUGUAUCUCAUGGAGGACCUGGCGUCCUGCCUCGGGUGUAACGCACCUCAGCCAGGGGCCAAGGUAUGAGCGUUUAUACAGUUCUCCAUCGCGGAGCGCAUACCGAGAAGAUUUGCGUUGUAUCUUUCUCGCCUCGGCUCGGUCCUCGGGGAGGAUUCCCUGCCCUAAGAAAAGGAUGAGUGGGCUCAUCCAUGUUUCUCCCAUGUUCACAGGGCAGGCCACCUCUUCCAUGUAUCCCGGCUCGUUUAACACUUCCACUAAAACAGUCUUGUUGAGGUCAGAAAAUGAGGUGGAAGCCAGCCGGGACAAGGCGUCGGCUCGCCUAUUCUGGGAGCGGGGGAUUCUUUGGAUCUCGAAAGACUCGAAAUACGCGAUGAGUUGGUGGACUUUGGCUAGAUACCGUUGCAUGGUUCCAUCCUUGGCCUCAUACUCACCAAGGACUUGGCAUACUACGAGUUGGGAGUCGCUGCGGACGUGGAUCCGCUGUGCACCGAGCCUGCGGACUAACUGGAGUCCCGCGAUCAAGGCCUCAUAUUCGGCUUCAUUAUUGGUGGCCGGGAAGUCAAAGCGGAGGGCGUAUGAGCACACUUCUCCCUGUGGGCCCUCUAGGAGCAGUCAUGCUCCACCCCCAUCCCCAUUAGAGGAUCCGUCCACAUACAACGUUCACAGGUGUGGGGUGGACACUUCGGCUAUGGCGGAAGUGGACUCCUGUCCUUCCGUGAAGGUAAGCUCGGCCAAGAAGUCGGCUAAGGCUUGAGCUUUUAUGGCGGUGCGCGGCUCAUACGACAGGUCGGACUCCCCCAACUCAACGGCCCACUUAGUGAGGCGCCCGGAGGCCUCAGGCCGCACCAGUAUCUGUCGGAGUGGUUGGUCGGUCCUGACAGAGACGGGAUGGGCUAAGAAAUAAGGUUUCAGCCGUCGGGCGGCGUGGACUAGUUCUAGCACAAGUUUUUCAACUUGAGUGUAUCGAGUCUCCGGCCCACGGAGAGCUCGGCUGACGUAGUAGACUGGCACUUGGGUGCCCUCAUCCCGGAUAAGAACAGCGCUGACAGCCUCGUCGGCUGCGGAAAGGUAGAGGUAGAGCUUCUUCUCGGACCGAGGUGAAGCAAGAGUGGGUAGGUGAUGGAGGUAUUGCUUCAGCUUGUCGAAAGCAGCUUGGCACUCUUCCGUCCAGGCAAACGGAUCAGUCUUCUUGAGCACCUUAAAGAAGGGCAAAGCUUUCUCAGCUGAUUGGGACAGGAAGCGAUUCAGCGCGGCCAGGCGUCCAUUCAGCCAUUGGACUUCUCGGAUGUUCCGAGGUGGGGACAUGUCCUGGAUGGCCUUAACCUUGUCGGGGUUGGCCUCGAUUCCCCGGUGGGAAACCAGAUACCCCAGGAAUUUCCCCGAGGUGACGCCGAAGACGCACUUCUUGGGAUUCAGCUUCAUCCUUGAGUCUCGCAGGACACCAAAGACUUCCCUCACAUCUGACAGAAAGGAUGAAGUGGCGAGACUUUUGACGAGGAUGUCAUCCACAUAGGCCUCCACAUUGCGGCCGAUCUGAUUCUUGAAGAGUCGGUUGAUCAGCCUUUGGUAGGUCGCUCCGGCGUUCUUUAGCCCGAAGGGCAUGGUAGUGUAACAAUAAGUACCUUGGUCGGUGUAGAACGCCGUUUUCUCUUGGUCUUCCUCACUCAUUCCUAUUUGAUGAUACCCUUUGAAGGCAUCGAGGAAGCAGAGGACUACAUACCCCAUCGCCGAGUCGACGAGGGCGUCUAUUCUCGGCAGAGAAUAACAAUCUUUGGGGCAGGCCUUGUUGAGAUCGGUGAAGUCUACACACAUUCUCCAUCCACCGGUGUCCUUUUUGACCAUGACUGGGUUCGACAGCUAGGUGGGAUAUUGGAUCUCGUGGAUCAUCUUGGCCGGCAAGAGCUUGUCGACCUCAUCCGAUAUGGCCUUGCUACGUUCGGGGCCGAAGUGCCUUCGUUUCUGCCGCACAGGUCGGGCCUGUGGGUUAACGUUGAGUUGGUGAGUCAUGAGUUCGGGUGGCACUCCGACCACUUCAUCUGCGGACCACGCGAAGACGUCUCGGUGGUCCUUGAUCAGGGAGAUCAUUUCUUCUUUCAGGGGUGAGGGAAGUCCGGCCCCUACUUGGACCACCUGGUCAGCUUUCGCUUCAUCCAAGACCACUAUUUCCACCUCAUCCCCGGGCUCAAGCCUGCUGGGCUCUCCUGCCUUCUGAGGGUCGAUGCAGUCUAUGGAGAGGACCGCUGGCCUCUUCUCUUCUGACCUCGGCGAGGGCCGGGGCGUGACUGCUGCUUGAAUGGUGGCGAGGUAGCAUUCUCGGGCGGUGCCCACAUCGCUGCUCACCUCGGCCACACCCUCAGGUGUUGAGAAUUUAAAGCUCAAGUGGUAGGUGGAGUAUACGGCUCUCAAAGCGUUGAGUGUGGGUCGCCCUAUCAACAUAUUAUAGGGAGAAUCUGCCUUGACCACCACGAAGUUGACGGGUAUAGUCCGGCAGCGGGGAUGACGCCAGAUGGUCACCAUCAGGGACACCAUACCCUCGGGGUGGACCACGUGUCCCCCGAAUCCAACGAGGGGGGUCCUGACCGGAGUGAGCUGCUCCCUGGUCAGUUUCAAACUUUCGAAGGUUCGGUAGUACAAUACGUCUACCGAGCUUCCGGGGUCCACAUAGACCUUUUUGACUAUGUAGUUGUUGGUGAGGACCUCGAUCACGAGGGUUUCGUGGUUGCUGGAAGCGGCGGGGACGGGGUCAGUGGGACCAUAGGUGAUGACCUAGGACAAUCGAGAGCUCGGCUCGGCCACCUCCAUCCCGGCCUGGCGAAAGGUCCGUUUUCGGGAGUUCUGGCUGUCUCCUCCCGUUAGUCCACCCGCGAUCGUGUUGAUCACUCCGGCGAUGUUGGGGCCGUAACCCGGUGAUCCGUCGCGUGGAGGCUGCUUGUCCUCCCUACGAUCCUCGGAACCUCGGCAAUGCAUGUUCGUGUCCCGCCUGUCCUCUCGGCGGGGGCCCCGCUUCUCCCGGUGGGAGACGCUUCGGUUGAAACCUCCAUCCUUGCGGACGAAUUGCUUCAGGUAUCCUUGUCGGAUCAAAUUCUCGAUCUCUCGCUUCAGAUCAUUACAGUCUUCAGUUUCGUGCCCAACAUCCCGGUGGUAGGCACAAUAGAGGUUCGAGUUCCUCUUAUCCCUCCUCCCUGGAAUUUCAGGAGGAUUUCGACCGAGGUGAUUCUGCCUCAUCACGGCCAGGACAUGGGUCCAGCUGGAAUUGAGAGGCGUCAUCUCGGCGUCCGAGGUGGACGACCUGCCUUUUACUAUCCGGUCGAAGACACUUCGGCGGUCUCGGAACUGAGUCGACGAGCCACUAGGGCCUGGUUCGACCAGCCGGCGUCUUUUUUCCUCCGGAAAUCUUGCCCGGUACGAGCGGCUUGAGCCUCUCGCUUCAUGCGGUUUAGAUCUUCACUUCGGAUUCCCUGAUCUACUCGAUCCCAGAGUUCCCGAAGUGUGCGGGGGUAAUCCCGGUGUAUCUCGGUAUUGAAAAUUCCCGCGAUCAGCCCAUUGGUGAAGGCAGCUAUGGUUACCUGCUCGUGCUGAUCAGGUAUCUGCACGUUCUCCUCAUUGAACCUCUGCACGUAGGAGCGCAGUGACUCGCCGGGGGCUUGCUGCAGGUUCAAGAGGUAGGCUGAAGUCUUCGUAAUCGGACGAGAUGAUACGAAGCGGUGAAUGAACCGAUCUAUCAGCUCAUCCAGUGAGAAAAUGCUCCUCGAUUCUAAACCCCAGAACCACUUUCGGGCCGUGCCCUGUAGGAAGAUGGGGAAAGCUCGGCAAAUUACCGCGUCGGGGACGCAAUAGAGCCGGAAAGCGGAGAGGAAGGCACGGAGGUGAUCCUCGGGGUCACCUCGGCCAUCGUAGGAACGCAGGGCGGGAAGUUUAAAGUUUGGGGGGACCAUCUCCCCAUUGAUGUCAUCCGUGAAGGGCGGAGCCCUCAGGUAUUCGGCUGCUAAGCCUCCGGGACGCCGAGGUGGGUCCUCAGCUCGUUUUCCCAGGAGGCCCCGGAAAAACGCCCGGGAGAUGGAAGCGAUUUUAGAUGUCGCUUUGUAGGAGGCGCGCCUGGAAGUGCUCCGAGAGAGGUGCCCCUCAUCGGAGUCUUCGCCGGAAGGUACUUCAGGGGACUUCGUCGGUCUCCUCUUGGAGGAUUCAGCUUUUUCCUUCCCCUGCCUCUUGAAGUACCUCCCCAGUUCUUCGAAAAUGUUCGGGUUAUCAGCCACGAAUUCGGCCAUCUUGGCGAUGGCGUCUUCAUUGUGGGGCUGGGUCCUUGGGGACCCUUGUUCCUCAGAGAUACGAUCUUGCUGGGCUCCGGAUGUCUGCCGAGCCCCAGUUGAGGGAACUCUUCCGCUUCUGGAACGCGUGGAUCUCAUUUUAGCAGUAAUCUCGUUCCCACAGACGACGCCAAUUGAGGAGGUGAUUUUUGGGAGGCGGUUGAACCAGCCGAAAUCAGCCUCUUCUGAGGUGAGCUGUAUCUGUGUGUCCGAAGUGAAUGGCGGGGCUUCUCCCCUGGGAUCACUCCGAUACUCAAGUUAGUAUGAGAACGAGAGAAAAGCAGUAGUAUUGUCAAAUGAACAGUAUGCUUACUUGCGAAAUGUACAGGAGGGGUAUUUAUAGAGGGGGAGUAGAUGUCAGGACGGAGGGUUCAUGCUGGUGGGACCCAUGUCCUGACAUUACGGCUCUGUUCCCUGCCAGGAGGCCUGACUCUGACAUUGUAGCCGGCUGGGUUGGAUGACGGGGGUCCUGCGCAGUAGUCAUUAAGAUCACCCAGUGCUUUUCAGAUAAAGCACUGGUCCUGGGCGUUGUCAGGGGUGUUGACAUCAUCAGCGUUUAGCCGAGGUGGUAGCCUGGGGUGCAGAGGUCAUCCACCGAGGAGACCAUGGACCGAGCCUAGCUCAGGGUCCGGAUCGGGGAACGGCUGUGUUUGUGUAGGAAACGAAACGAGGUCACCUCGGCCACAAGGUACUGCCGAGGUGAGCACCCUCAAAUACAUAUUUUAAUCUUUUUUUAUUUUACAUAUAUCAAAUUGUUACAGUAUAUUUUUCUACAAAAACUUUUAACAAAAUAGCAAUUCAAAUGGAUUUAAUGGAAUCAAAUUUUUCGGAUUUUAUUUUAUAAGGGAUGUAUGGUUGUCAUUUUAAAAGUGAAUGACGAAAAAAUUCAUUCAUUUGAUGACAUUUUAAACGAUUUUUCCUAUUUUAUUUUUUCUUUGAAAGUGGGGAGAAGUGGUACUUUUUUUUUCUUCCUUUUUUCUUUUUUUAAAGGAUAAGGGUAGUACUAGAAUGCAAAUAGCACCCGCUUGGUGCUUUGGGCAAAUUAGCCUCUAAUUAUCUUGUGAACCAUAGAAACUAUCCCAGGUAUAUUUGUUAUAAAAUCGGAGCUUAAUUGCAAAAUGUCCCUUAUAACGUCGUGCCAGUAGCAAAUUAUCUAUAUCUAUAUGUAUUACAGAAGGGAUUUUAGUAGAGACCCUCUCAAUGGCUUCCAAACUUCUUAUUUUUUUCUAGAUUUUUGUAUUUAUUUUAAUACAUAAAAAGUAGUGGGUUAUAACCAACCCUAUCACUAAUUAAAUUUAAAAUUUAAAACAUUCCCACUAUCUACUUCAUAAACUGUUUAUAGUUUUUUAUUUAUACUUUAAAUCUUUUUUACUCCUUAAUUAAAGACAAAUGCUCAUUCGUAUGCUAUUUUAAUACAAUGUUACAUUUUUAUAAUUAAGAAAUAUUUAUCAGCAAACAAACCCUAUAACCACCCCUACAAAUGAACUUUGCAAAUUAUAAUCACGUUUCAAAAAAAUCAAAUGUGCAACUAAAUGUAAAGUUGAGAGGGUAAAGUGCAGCUAAAUGUAAAGUUAAGGGGUUUACUAUAUUUAACCCCUAACAAAAAUCCCAAGAAAGGAACAAGUAGUGGGUUAUAGAUUUUUGUAUUUAUUUUAAUACAUAAAAAGUAGUGGGUUAUAACCAACCCUAUCACCAGUCAAAUUUAAAAUUUAAAACUUUCUCAUAAUCUACUUCAUAAAUCGUUAAAUAUAUAAUCCUUUUUAUACUUUUGUAUUUAUUUAUACUUUAAAUCCUUUUUACUCCUUAAUUAAAGACAAAUGCUCAUUCACAUACUAUUUUAAUACAAUUUUAAUUCGGAAGCAUACAACAUGAUCAAGAAACAACAGAACCAAUUAUGACUAUCUUUUGACCCAAAAAAAAAAUUAGGCCUAGAUGCCACUGGCACGUUGUCAUAACUUGCGAUACUGAUUAGGACUAUUUAGCUUUUUUUUUUUUGCAAGGAAUUAAGGCACUGUAAAACUUAUUUAGACAAACUUUACCUCAUCGGUGAUUUGAAUAUCAAGUUAUUGAAUAUACUACAAAUCCUAUAAUCAUGCUCACAUUUUUCCCACAUUUCCCUCACGUUUCUUGAUCAUCUAGUAAGGAAACUAUAAAAACUAACGAGUGAAUAAGAAAAACAUUAAAAAAGGAAAAUGUAUGGCUGACGCAAUAGACGGCUUUUAUAACUUAAAAUGGUUUACGCAUGGUUGCAAACACAAUGAUUGGAAAUAUUAGCAUCUUAAAAUGCAUAUGAAGAAAAGAAAAAGAAUAUGUAACAAAUUCAGCAAAUUUUUAAGUGCAUUUUCGUCCAAUUUUAAUUAUGUUAUUUAUAGUUAUUGUUCAACUUUACGAGGAGUAUACAUACAUACUUCUUUCCUAUUACCUAUCACUUCAGGAAGCGAGAAGACGCUUCAGCUCAGAUUAUGAAGACACCAAUCCCUCAUUUAAAACACUACAACCAAGUAAAACUUUUUCAUUUUAGUUAAACAUUAAAUCGUUGCCUGGUGUUUAUAGCUUCUGCACCCAAGGCUGCAAUUUUUAGUUUUCAAAACUUUCAAACGUAUAUUCUUAUGUAACAUAUAUUUUCAACGAUAGUUAAGAAUAUGUCCUUGAAGUCUGAGCAUAAACAUUAAUGAAUAGUUUCUAUCCGGAUAAAAAAUUAAUGAAAUAUAUUUUUACAUCUAUAUGUAUUGCACGAGAGGUAGGGAAGAGUAACAUUUGAUGUUUGUUGUGCUUUUAGUAUUUCUUUAGAUCUUUUUUUAUUGGAGCUUUGUUCAAUUUUUUAAUAUAUGUUAAGGGUUUAGAUAAGGUACAUAAAUACAAUAUAGAUUAGAUACUAAAAUAGUACUUUUUAAAAUUUUAACCUUUUUCCAUGUAACUAAUAUAACUAAUUCACUUCUAACACACGGGAAUAAAAGAAAUAUAUUAGUUAACCUUCAUAAUUUAUCUUUUAACCUUUCAAAUUUAAUUUUUUCUAAAAUAUAUACCCCGACAAUAAUAUACAAAAACAAACUACUAGCCACGUGCAUGUUAGUGGUUUUAGCCAUGUAUUUCAAAUUACUACAUGUACCAAAAUAUAUUUAUAUAAGAAUUAUUGUAUUAACUGUAGGUGUUAACAACAAUUCUAUUGGUACUUAAUUUUCAUUUGAUUAGAAUACAAUUGUACAUCUGACCGUUAAUGUUAUUUCUUAUUUAACUAUUGUAUUUCUUUGGUUAACAAUUCUCAUACAAUGUAUCACAUCAUUACAUUUAAAACAAAUACAAAAACUAUCGAUUGUUAGUUUAAUAUAUAUUUUAAUGCAUUUCUAUAUCAAAGAAAUGAAAAUUCUAUCUCUCAUCAAGUUUGACGGCCAUCGAUAUCACCAGCGAUCCAGCAUGAUCAUGGUAAAUAUAAAGUUUCUUAUAUCGUCAAACUCAUCUUGCAAUUACAUUUUUUGCUGUAUUAUCUUGCUAAAUCAACUGUUUACAUCACAUAAUAUUAGAUGGAAUACAUAAUGGCUCAGCAAUUAUUGAAGUUUCCCUCACACCAACAUCGCCAUGUGAUGGCCAUAACGAUGGUAAGAUCUAGGUUUCUCGCUUAUUUUUAACACAUAAUUAACCAUUACCAUUGCAUUUUCAACUCUAUUAAUGUAACUUAUACACCUUAUUUCUAUAUUUACUGUUCAUGAUAUAAUGUUUAUGAAUUAUUAAAAUUAUGCAGACUCAUCUGAAGAAUUUGUUCCUGCUACGCAAGACGUUGUGCCUGUUAACAUAGUUUCAUUUGUAGUAUGUACUACACAAAAUUCAAAAGAAUUAAUUAAAUCACCAAUUUUGGCUUUCGUACUAAAAGUUAAUUUGUGUGAAGAGUAUUCACAUCUUUAUGCAAGAUUAUCAAAUCAAAUGCAUAAUAUUUGUAAGUAUUUCAUUUUAACAACAUUCAAUUACAUUCAUUUUCUAAUAUAAAUUUCUAAUUUUUUAGAAUCUAUCUUCCGAAAAAAUGUAGUUCUUGAAUGAUAUACACAUUCUAUCAUAUUUCAAACUAUUGUUAGACAGAUAUUACAUUUUAAUUGUAUUGAUACAAUUUUUGAAUCUUUUAUAAUUCACCCUUUUAUUUUCAUUUUUUCAAUAAUGCCAGCACUGUACGUAAUACGGGUAUUCACAUUAAUUCUAUGUGUACACCAAAACAAGCACCAGAUUAUUCAUUAUUCAAAAGAAGGUGGUAAUUUCAACCACCUCAAAUGAAUUUCAAGGGGGAAAAAAAACUCUUCAUAGAAUCGUAAAUUCCGCUACCUUAAUACUAAUGCUUUAUAUGACUUGUAGCAACCAAACAUCUUAUUUGUUAUCAACUUCAACUGUCACUUAUUGCUUCAUUCCCUGCAAUCCAUUGUGCCAUCAGACCUAAAAGCAAUUAUUUGGAAUAAUUUUUUUCAAAAACACCCUAGCAUAUAUAUAUAUAUAUAUGAUAUACAUAAGAUAAAAAAAAGAUGGUUGAAAAGAUUAAGAAAAAAUUAGUUGAAAAAUGUAUCUAUGAUGCACUUAUGCAGAUAAAAACAUAUCCAAACAAGGCAUAGAGAAAAUUGAUUUUCAAAUAGUAAUUGUUAUUAGCAUUUCUUUUGUUUGCCUCCGCUCCACUGGAUCUGAAAGUCAGAAGCCAAACCACAACAAGAGGAUAAACCUGGGAGGGCCACGUGGCCAAGGUGCUGCCUCUGCUGCCCUUCUUUCAUUGCCGCAGGAGUGGGAUUUGUGUUACUGCAAAGCAAAGCUCUGUCUGUCCGCUGUGACCGACGGGGUAAGCAGUUUACAUUUUACGGUAGUGUGGUGAUGAGAUGAUGGCUUCUCUGCUCUCCCCGACUGCUCCAACAGCACUACUUUCCCAGCAGGAUCCCAAAUUCAUUUGCUUUUCUCCAUCAAAUCCAACCUCCCAGACUGCCUCUCUCUGCAGCUCGUUAACGAGAAAUACUAGUUUGAGGUGCAGCGCAUUCUUGGAUGGCAUUUCCGAUGCUACUUCUAGUUCUAGUUUGCCACUACCGCUACCGUUAGACUACCUUGACCUCGACCAGUCCUCGUCACUUCAAUUCCCUGCUCUUCAACCUGUUCUGCCCCUGCUCCAAAGUUUGAUCGCCGAGCUGCCCCAAGGCCACCAAUCGGGAGUCUUGCUCUUCGCUGGCUUUGCUUGGCUAUAUUUGACGGCCAGGCCGGGCGUUCUCCUUGGUGCCUUCGAUUCCUACCUUCUAGCUCCUCUGCAGUUGGGCUUUGAUACCCUGACUGGGAGAAGGAGACUGAAGCGGACCGAUUUCUUGAUUGGGGAAAGGCUCGGAGAAGGUUCCUUCGGUGUUGUUUACUCUGGUCUCGUUGUUCCUAAGAACGUGUCAGUGGAUGCUGACAGGGUUUUGACGAGAGCAACUCUGAGGGCUCUCGAGAACGAUCAAAGGUUCAAAGACAAGGUCAUUCUCAAAAAGGUGAUUUAAAAGAAAAAUUCCCUGACUUUGGCAUUGCUUUUCUCAGGUUCUGAAUUGUGUAUUUUAUUGUAUUGUCACGCACUAACUUACCACACUACAUUCUGUUCCUUCCAUUUUUUAUUUUUUUUCCCAUCACCGUUUCUUUUUCUUCUUUUUUGUCAGUCUAUUUUGGUUUCACGAUGUGCUUGGACUUGGAGAAGAAGUCCAGCCUCCUCUAUGGCUGGUUUUCUAUUUGGCUUUCGCCUGUGAACUUUUUAUGUUAUAACAGGUAAAACUUGGAGUUCAAGGUGCUGCAGAAUGUGGUGAUUUUGAAGAGUGGUUUAAUUACAGGUUGUCAAGAGCAGCUCCUGAGACGUGUGCAGAAUUUCUCGGAAGUUUUAUUUCUGACAAAACUAAUUCUCAAUUUACCAAGGGUGAGAAAUGGCUCGUAUGGAAGUUUGAGGUACUUGAGCUUUUUCCUCAAGUUAUUUUUCAGGAGAUCUAAGGAUAAUUCUCAGUUUUUGAUGUUAUUCGCCUAUGCCUGAGAUCAACAUCGUUUCUCUUUUUUCGGUUUUUGUGGAGAGUCUUCUUUUGUUUUUCACAACCUCUUAUUCUCUUUCUGUUUUUUUCUUAAUUGUUUUUCAUUUUUUCCUUUUUUGUUUAGGUGAACAAUCUUUCUUUUUUUCAUUUUUCCUUGCGAUUUCUUGAAUUUGAGUCUGCAAAAAUAAAUAUAUAAAUAAAUAAAGGACGACUAAUAAAGCAGUUGUACAGGCUAUGAUGGCCAGCUUGGACAUCAUCAUAAUCUUAUGACUUAAAUAAGAAAGAUAGGAUGCAUUGAAUUUUUGAAACUCUUGCUAAUCACAGUGCCCUGUACGAGUAAAGCUUGGAAACUAUGGAUUAACAAGACGAAGCUUGAAAAUCGUCAUUUUCCAUGUAUUAUUCUUAAUUAUUUACAAUAUGCCAUUGAUGGUCUUAUUGGAAGUCAUAUUAAACAGCUAGUUUGCAUGCUGUGCCUUGCAUUGUUAACUGAGUUGCAUUCUGAUAUCUAAUGAUAUACGUUUUGAUCCUAUGGGAAUGUCAUGCAAUAGGGUGAUCUUGACCUUGCUGAUUACAUGCAAGAUCGUGGCUUCCCUUUGAACCUGGAAUCUGUUAUGUUUGGCCGUGCCUUGCAAGGAUUAGAGUCUGUUGAACGCAAUGCACUGAUCAUCAAACAGAUAAUGCGCCAAAUCAUUACUUCCCUCAAGAAAAUCCAUGACACUGGUAUAGUACACCGGGAUGUAAAGCCCUCCAACUUAGUAGUUACAAAAAAGGGGAAAAUCAAACUCAUAGACUUUGGAGCAGCAACAGACCUUCGAAUUGGAAAAAAUUACAUGCCCGAUCGCGGACUACUUGAUCCUGAUUAUUGCCCUCCUGAGCUAUAUGUAAUGCCAGAGGAAACUCCAAAUCCACCACCGGAGCCAAUUGCUGCCUUUCUUUCUCCAGUUCUGUGGCAGGUGUCUCUUGUAUUCUUUCCUUCAAGUGGAAGAUCAACUGAUUUUUGUUGAAAAGAAAGUACUCAUGCUAUUAUUAAUAAAUUUAAGCCGUUCAUUUCCAGUAAUUAAUCGCAUUUGACGCAUUGAGUUAUAGAUUGCAUUUUAGUAGUUUUAUUAUGGUCAAGCAUACUAAAUUGGAUUCUAGACUUUUGUAAGGAAUUUAGAGUUGGUAUAACAUCAUUAACUGGAAUGUGUGACCAAGUUAUGCAGAUCCUACACAAUGAGAAAACUUCAGCUUGGUUCUUAAAAAGGCUCCAUGUGACACACUGAAGUGGUUUUUUACUCUUGCUGCAGUUAAACAGUCCUGAUCUCUUUGACAUGUACUCUGCUGGAAUUGUAUUCUUACAAAUGGCAAUACCGUCCUUAAGGUCCACAUUAGGUUUAAAAAAUUUUAAUCUAGAAUUGAAGACAGUGGGAUAUGACCUGAGAAAGUGGAGGGAGAGAACAAGGAUGAGGCCUGACCUUAGCAUUCUCGAGCUUGAUUCUGGUAGAGGUUGGGACUUGGCCACAAAGCUUAUUUCAGAGAGAGGUUUCCUGAGAAGGGGUCGAUUAUCUGCUGGAGCAGCCCUGAGGCAUCCAUAUUUUUUGCUAGGCGGUGAUCAAGCUGCUGCAGUUCUUUCGAAAUUUGCUUUCAAGUAGGAAACCUUUGAUCAUGGUAAGCUUUGCAUAUUCUCAAUCACCCACUUCUUAAUUUCUUCUGUUUUAUCUAAGUAUUAAUUAGAAGGGCUCUAAUUUGGCUUUGUAGUGUUAUUUUCUGUACCAGGUUUACUAUUUUCUGUUUUUAAAGUUUACUAUUAUUAUUCAUCUUCCUGUGUUAGGCUAUUUUCUUAAUACUAAUUCAUACGUUGAUAUUGCUUAAGAGGAACUGGAAUUUUGAUAUGCACUUAAUUGGGAUUUUACGAGUUAUAUAUAGUUCUAAUCUGUCUCUACGCAGUGGGAGGAAAGAAAAAUUCACGAGGAGCUUCUAUGCAUGUAAAGUUUAUUGUUCUCCAAUUUGUUAGCAUACCAGCAGUUCCUCCUUGAGAUACUUGCAGCUAAAAAUGUCUUGCUCGCCAGAAAUUGCAGAAGUCAGCGUGUUAAACUCGAAUGAGUAGUCUUGACUUUCUAACAGGGCAGAAAAUUCGUCUGUCUGCUGCUAAAUCCUUUUGUUUGUGCCUAAAAGAAAGAGAAGAGCAAAAACUUGGAAAAUAUUGCCGAAAGAUAUAUCCUCUGGCAAAUAACCAUUCUUUAUGUACUAUUGCUGUAGAUAUAUUUCCUGAAUCCCGCAUAGUUGCCUUUGUUGGCUGAAGACAAUCCAGAGAUCAAUACAGAAACUUUUCACUUCAAUGCGAUCACCAGCAAUUACCAUUUUAGCAUGUUACUAUUUCAUCAAGAAAAUGUUGUAAUAAAGAAACCGAAAGUCAACACUUACCAUGUCCAUGAUUCUGUAGCUUGUAGCAAAUCCAUGCGGUCAUUUGGUUGGAGGGAAGUAGAUGGUGAAUUUGAGGUUCCGUUGAAGGGUCGAAGUUCACCACCGUAGAUGAGAAUCAAAGACGGUUUUGAGCAAACAAACUGUCAAAUUGUUUGGACAUGGACAUGGUAGUACGGUGUUAUGGUACUCCAUAUAAGAGCAGUUCAAGGGUUACUACGUACAAUAUUCUCAUGCAAGAACAGUCAUAUGCUAGUAUGGCUAGAACAUUAUUAGUAGUAGUAUUAAUUUCUCAAACAUAAUUUUCAGGGAAUGGGAUAAAAUCAAAAUGUGGUGGUUUACCAUAUACAGUACAAAAUAGAGCAGUACCACCACCUUAAUUUUUUUUUUUUUUUUUUUUUAAUGUAGUAGUAAUUUGGAAGAGAACAGAACACGAAGGCAGGAGUAGGUAGGUAGGUGGUACUAGUAGCUAAAGAUUAAUUAAAGCUCAUCAUGAUACAGGAGGGUAGUCCCCGUCCCCGGGUGGUGCUGGUGCUUCUUGCAACCCCAGUGGCAUCUCCAAGAACACAAGGAGUUGAAGGUCUUUAGCCUUCUCGACUGAAGAGAUACGAUAUCCGACGUUGAAGGAGACUUUGAAAGCACCACCGCGUAUCCGUCAUCCAUGUAAUCUGUCCCUUCGGGAAACAAUUGCCAGAGCAGGCUCCCGCCGCCGCCUCCCCCCAUUUUUGUCGAGUUCAAGAGGGUCUUGUACACAGUAUUGAGGAAGGUGUCCCGGUAUGUAGAAUUGUAGCCGGGAUCUUUUGCUGAUACACCAAAUUCCGCAAACACAACAGGCAUACCAAGGAAGUUCUCAGCAUCAUCAAUGUGAGAUUGCAUCCAUGCUUUGGUGAAGUCUAUGUGGGCAUCAGAGAUCGAUUGCGAAAUCCUUCAUACAGUGUCGAUAUCAUUUAGUACGUUCUUAAUAGGAGCUCUCAUGACAACCCAUAAAAGAACACCCUAGUGUGUAAUCUAUGCAUCCACAACUUGAACAUACAUAAGCCAGAUGUCUUUUAGAUGUAAUUGUGUCAUAAAAAGCUUUCUCAUCCAAAAAAAAAAAAAAAAAAGUAAAAAACCACUAGAAUGAAUAUAAGAGGAGGAGUGACAAAAUAUUAAAGCAGUUUCCCAUGAAUGAAUAUACUAACCAAGAGUCUGGAUAUAUGUGAACAGAAGCAAAAUCAACCCCGAGAAUUUGAUGAUUCCUUAUAAAAUCAGUUCCAACUUGUUGAGCAUAGGUAUUUGGGUUGAGCUGAACCCUGUUGAGCGUCGAGGGACCAUAGAAACCUUCCACUCCAAUCUCCAACAAAUGCUUUGGAUCAACGCUCUUCACAUAGACCGCCAUUUCUUCUAACCAAGCCUACAUGUACGUUGCCACCUGAAUAACUCAGGAUAACUUGUAUGACAGAUAUCAUUCAUCACAUUAUGCUGCGUAAAUGGAGUUCGGAAAGAUGCUAUGGAAAGAUAAGAGGUAGAGCUAGCUACCCUUGUACGGUGAGAUGUUUUAGGUUUAUAUACCAUGCGCAUUUAAUUUAGUUUCAGGUGUACAUAGCAUGGUGACAAGUUUCUCAUGAAUUUAGCUGUUCAGAGAUACAAACCUGCAGCUUGUUGCCAGAGGGAUCUGAUUCACAUCUCGGCUCAUUCAUGAGUUCCCAAGCAAAUAUCGUUGGAUCAUCCUUGUAGGUUAUGUUGUUGACAGUGUUGGCUCUAUCAAGAACCAUCUCCAGGCGCCCAAGUAUCCAGAGAAAGAUUUAGGAGUGAGGGAAAAGGGGAAAAUGUUAGACUUGGUACAAUAACAGCAAUUGUUCGAAGACUGUGCUGCAGUGUCAACGAUGAAUGAACGCGAAACUAGUCAUUAAAAUUCAAGCUUAGUGAACGAAAUGCAAGAAAGCUAUCAAAGCAAAGUACAAACCUUGACAUGAGCCUUAUAGUAGCCUUUGAGAGUUGGAUGGGAGAAGAAGUCAUCAUCAGAAGUCAAGUUUAGGCCAGCAGCUUUACCCCAUUUGACAUACUGGGAUUUGCCUCCGUAAGCUUCCCAAUUGUUUACCAAUGACAAUAUAAGCCUGAUUUUGAACUUUUUUGCCUCACUUAUGACGAAAUCCAAAGCCUGUAAAUCGAGGAAUAGCUUAACGUAUCUGUUGUAUUCAUCUUGGUAUCCAUAUCAUCAUGUUAGUCAACCGUUACAAUCUUUAAUGUAACGUGGUUUACUUGCACCAUGCACGUACAGAGACCGACGCAGCAAUGCAGAUAAUUCUUUCAGAUGGAAAUCACGGUCAGGGGACUCUUGUCCUUUGUCAACUCAAAAAAGCUAACUCAUGAGACACUGUGAAAUUGAGAUAGAGGGACGUACCUGGAACACUUGCUCGUCAUAAACAGCCGGCGAUUUCUGAAGAGCUCGCCACUGGCCGUUGUUGAAAGCCCAAGUCCUGCACACCGUAAGACCCACAGAGGAUGCCUGUUGAAAAACCUCAGUAACCUUAGGUCUCGUAGAUUGAUCCGCAGCAAAGACCAUUAGCCAGUAAGUGUUGAACCCAUUGACAUAAAAUGGUUGGCCAUUGACCAUGAAUUGGUUUCCAUGUUUUUGCACCAGUGUCCAUUCUUCGUCUUCCAUGACUCCAAAAUUACGUAAUCUGUAAACAUGUCAUUAGUAAGCAAUAUAGAAAAACAGCAGCGUAAGCUGCAUUUGAGGAGUUGCUACUCAAGAUGAAAUCGAAUUACGCUUACUGGACGCACCCAUCGUCGUUGUCGAGAUACUUACCCGAAAUAAAAAUCAUUGUUGCUAGAAUGUGGCCAAGGAAUAUUCAUUUUGUCUUCCAUUUUGGGUGAAUCGGCAUUUGAGGUAUCAAGAUACAUUAAGAGGAUAAAAAGCAACUGUAAUAAUAAUGUUCCACAUGUAAUGUCAAUCUGGCUGCAGUCCAUGAUAUCAAGACUGAUAGGCGAUAGCUUUAAUCUUUGUGGGAGGUGCUUUAGCAUUGACAGGAAAGACAUCUAUAUAUAUAUGUGUGUGUGGCAUGUCUAAGAUACUUAUCCAGUAGACCACGAACUAAUCUUGUAGUGAAAACAGAGAGAAGUAUGAAAGAGGGAAUCAUCUGGGCUACCUUCAAAGCAAAGAUACACCAGUGUUUCCUUUACAUGGUUAGUAAGUAAAGACAAAUUAAAUAAAUUUUUUUUUUUUAAAAAAAAAAGAGUAAAAGAAAAAAAAAGGUAAUGGUGGUAGUGAUGGUAUCAACUGGGAUUUGGGGUGCUUAGCUUUAAAGCUUUAACUUUUUAAGGGGGAUGCUUGUUUUUGGUAGGCGUAGAAAAUGAACCUUUAGACUGAACAUAAUGGAGACGGAGAAGAUCCAAAGCAUUUGUCCAUCAAUACACAUGGGAAACAUGUGGUAUUCAACAACAUUUGACUCUCCAAAACAAAAAUAAAAUAAAAUAAAAUAAAAUCGGGGAUGCAAAAGCCGCAAUCAAACCAGAAGUCGUACGUAUGCUUUAGUACAUAGAACAACGCCACCUACACCUAAUUUAUUUUUGUUUUUGUUUUUGAUCAAAUGUGAGUCAUUUGUAUAUAAUCAUAUGCACAAUUCAAGUAGAAAUAACUAUUAUAGUAUACCAUUUUGAAUUUUUUUCUCCCUUGAAGUCACAUGGGGAAAUCUAAAGAUGUGUUUGAUAAAAUUGAAAUUUGAAAUCUGAAUCAAUUAAAUUAUUGAAUUAUUAGGUACUAAAUUUGAUACAUUUAAAUGUAUAUCACAUCAUGUGAUAAGUGAAUAGAUCAUGACUAAUUUUUUGGAACAAGUUUUGCCUAAAAAAUUCGAUAUCAUUUAAUUAAUUCAAAUGCUCUAGUUAUGGUUAUCAAACGCGUUUGAAUAUAUUAAAAUCUAAACCCAAUAAAUUUAAGUACUAAAUUGAGUUAUUAAACAGGAUCCAAAUCCAAUGGUCUGUUAUACUUCCACCUAGUGUAUUGUAAUAAAAGGAAAUUCUAUCGCCAUUUUAAGAAAUCAUUUCCUCAAUUUAAUUUGCAUCAGUACAAUAAAUGGUGAUAAUGGGCUACGUCUUAAAGUUUGGGCGAAUUUAUCUUGAAGAUACAAUAUUCAAAAGAAACUAUAGAAUCUCCCCCUAAAUAAAAGGAUAAUACGUUGAGCAAUUGAAAGUAAUAUACUACUAGUUUUUACCUAAUUCAAAAAGGAAAAUAAAAAGAUAGUAAUAGUAGAAACCUAACGUAUCAAUUUUCAGUUUCACGCAAAAGGUCAGGAAAAAAAAAAAAGAAAAGAAAAACCUUUUGUUACACCAAACUUCUGACCGUUUAACAUGAUACUGCCGGAAUGCAAGAACGAAAACCUUUUGGGAAGUAGAUACAUUACAUACCCCACUCGCAAGUACGUAAGAGUAACGGUUACGCCCUAGUGCUAGUAGUUUUUUUGAAGGAAGUGCUAAGUAGUUGGUCAGCUGAAAAGUUUGAGAGAGGAUGACAGAUACUUUGAUAGUUGUGAUAAUGCAAACACUUCAUGUGGAAGUGCUUACAAAAUUGUCUGCCAGUCAAUGAACAGCUGUCGAAAAGGCUACAUAGAGGGGAAGGCAGAUGUGGUUGCUGUGGUGAAGAUAUGGAAACUAUUGAGCAUUUGUUCUUCUUCUGUGAAAAGGCUGUGGAAACGUGGAAGCUAGCACCGGUCAGGUGGGAUGGAUUACUGGGUAUGCAAUAUAACUUUUGGCUAUGGUGGGAACAAGUCACACAAUCGCUGGCACUGAACCAAGGUCAGGAGAGAGUUAGUCUUACUAUCAAUAUCCUUUGGCAAAUUUGGAAAGCCAGGAACAAAAAACUUUUUGAACAAGCCAACCAGGAUCCAGUAAAAAUAGUAAGGAAAGCACAGGAGGAAUGGCUUGAGUUUGAACAGGUAGGGAGUACAGACCAGAAGGAGAUCGCAGGGAAGCUGAAUGAUGCCUUACCUACCAGGAGAGUGCGGCCAAGGAAGGAAGAGAUAAGGCUGUAUACCGAUGCAGCGAUAUCAGCUAAACGAGUCAGGACUGGACAAGGGAUUAUAGCAAGAAAUUGGAAAGGGCAGCUUUUGAAAGCAAAAGGAAUUGUCACACAGGGAAAGGGAUCGGCAAGUGAAGUGGAAGCUCGGGCUGUGAGAAAUGCUCUGCUGAUGGCUACCCAAGCAGGUUGGACACAAAUUAUAGUCCAUACAGACUGCAAAUCAGUGGUAGAGCAGAUUACUAAACGCAAGGAGUAUGACUACACGACUGCAACUAUCUUAGAAGAUGUGCAGGAACUUAGUCUAACUUUUGAAAAAUGUUCCUUUGUGUUUAUACCUAGAACUGAAAAUCACAUCAGCCAUCAAUUAGCACAAUAUGCUGUGAAGCUUGUACAUGAUAUUGAAUGGGAAACUGAUUUCCCAAUUUGGCUGACUGAUUUAGCUAGGACAGAGUUGAGGGUAGUAUCCCCUUUUUUGUAACUAAUCCUUGUAUGGUCAAGUGUUAAUAUCUAUAACAUGAUACCGUUUGUUGGAAAAAAAAAAAAAUAAAACACUAGGAGGAACAGAGUGGUGGUAAAAGCUAUCGAGGCAGUUAAUUGUUUCCUUACUUGGAUUCGGAUGUACAAGAUAGGGGUGGCGGUGCAAUUUAGCGGUGUUGAAGAUGUGCGAGUAUCCAGUAGUAUAGUCCCGGCCGGCCGGCCAGCUUUAAAACACCAGCACCCGAGAGUCAGUCACUCAUUUUCCUCCUCCUCAGGUCAGGAUUCAUUCAGGUGCUAGGCGGCGGCGGCUAGACGACGGUGAUUUCUUCUUCUCCUCCUCCUCCCUUCUAUUGGAUUAGCCAGCCUCGUAGAGAUGGAUGCCAGCCAGGGAGGAGGGUGAGGCAAGGGGUUAUUUGAUUUUUAGUCCCAUCGGCAGCCAUCCAUCAUGCUACUAGACUAGCACGUAGUACCCACCGCAGCAAACAAAAAUCAACCGCCCGACCGCCUGCUCUAUAUUUUGAGUACCAUUUUGUUUUCCCUUCUGGGUGGGAGUGGGACCCGGUCAUCUCUCCUUAUCAGUUAGCAUUCAUGGGUCAUCACCACCGGCUGUAGUAGGCCCGUAGAGCAGUAUUUCACCUGGGGCUUGGGGAAGUUUGAUUCCUUAGGAACAGUAUCCCAUUUUCAGAACACCCUUUAAUCCUUCUCAAGAGUUGGUAAAAUACAAAUAUAGUAUUCGGUUGAUUGCAAGGGAAAAUGCUUGAAAGCUUUUUUCUUCUUUUUCCUUCUCGCAUAUUUGCGUAUUUGGUCGGGGAAAAAAGUUUUUUUAAAAAAAAUAAAGUCUAGCAUUUAUUUACCCUACAUUUUUCUACAAAUUUAUUAGUUUUUUAAAUAAAAACCAUAAUUUCAUUGGAGAUUCGUACUAUUAGCAUAGAGUACAUUAAAACGUGGCAAGUAUAUAUAUACAAAUUUGAAAAUCAGUUGAGACAAUAUCGAAACACGACAUAUGAUUAGAAAUUCAAUCGUGAAAACAUAAAAUAGAUUAGAAGCCGUUUGGAUUCUGAGUUUAGAGUUUUUGUUUGUAAAAAAAAAAAAUUUAUACGGUAGCAAUAUGAUAUAUGUUAGGUAAAAAAAUAAUUGAAAAUUUUUUUUUGAUUGAUUUUUGAGGAGAAAAAUGGAAUGAUAUGAACAAAGAGAGGGGCAAAGAACCUAAUCAAUUUGUUGAAUUGUCAUUUCUAUCUAAAAGUAGGCAAAAUGAAGGAAAAGGAAACCGAAUUCAAUGGAAUAAUAUAAAUUUGUUUGAAAGGUUAAUUUUUCUUAUCUUUUCUAGUUAAAUAACACUUCAUCAUUUCCUUCCGUUUUUUAUCCCUUCAUCAGCCCAAACAAAAUUUCAAUAUUUCUUUUCAUUCUUCUUCCAUAUUUAAUCCAAGUACAAUGGAUAAGAACUACUUUCCUCUACUACCUGUUCUUUUCCUUUUCACUAUCGUCCUUUAUUUUCCUUUCCCUUCAUUUCUUUUAAUCUAAACGGUGCCUAAGGAUAAUUUUAUUCUUUAACAUAAAUUAGGAGAUAAAUUGAGAAUAAGAUAUUUAUCCUUUACCAUUAAUUAGGAGAUAAAUUGAGAAUCAGACUUUUUUUUUUCUGGUGUCCAGAAUAAGAUUCUUUACCGAUAGAGUUACAGUAAGCAAAUUGAGUAUAAAAUUCUUUAGUGGUCGAAUUAUAGGAAGUAAAUUAAAUAUAAAAUUCUAUAGUGGUAGAUUUAUAGGAUGUGUUUGGAUUGCAGAUUUUCAAAGAAAAAUUACUAUAUUUUCCGUUGAUACACUUUUCAAUCACCUUUUUACUUCAUAUAUAUCAAAUCAUUACAGUAAUUUUUCUACAAAAAGUCCAGAAAAAAUGCAAUCCAAACAAAGCCAUAGUUUUUAUGAUAAUCUACCGUUGCCAACUGAUGAUAAUUAUUUAUUUUCACAAACUGUUGAUCCCUGAGAGAUAGCGGUUAAAAAUAAUAAUGUUAAGGGUCAACGUACAAAUCGCCCCAAAUUUUAAAAAGUGUUUAAUCUGUUAACCCUUUAAUUUAUAUUUUAUCUAGAAAUUUUAAAAGAGUUUAAUGCUAUUAAUCCUUCAAAGUAUAGUAGCCAUAAAUUUUAAAAGUGGGUGAUGCAAUGACCUAUAGUUUAAUUUAAUUUAUUCAACAAAACAUUUGUUUUAUCAUCCAAUGAUAACUUUGAAUUUGUCUUUUUUUUUGUCAAAUUUUUUGAACUUGAUCUUAUAAUAUAUACGAGAAUGAUGCUACUAGUUAUUUGCAGCAAAAAUCAUUCAAAAUGUUUCUCACAUUUCACCAGAUGAUUUUUUAUAAUUUAUUUUUAAAAUGUUAUUUUUAUAUCUCUUACAACAUCAAUUCAGCAAAAUUUGAUUCUAAUAUAAGCUCUCGAUAACUUUUAUGUUUGAAAUCACCAUAUAGCCCAUAUGUAGUCAUUUUUUAUAUACAAAAAUACCAGAUCUCGCUGUUUUAGUGGAAAAAAUGAGUAUGAAUUGGAUUCGAUCCCAAAUCAGGGUAAUCUUUUUAUAAUUUUUAGGGGUAAAGAUGAUGUGAAUCGAGUAAUUUGUUUAAUUACGAAUAGAAUUUAAUCUUUUUCCUCCUAACAAACUAUAACUACGUGUGGGUGACAUGAUGAAUUCAAGAUGAAAAAUGAUUGAAAAUUUAGGUUGGAAUUAAAUUUUACCAAAUUAAUUUCAUAAGGGAUCUAAAGUUAUCAUUUUUUUUAAAUGAAGGACAAAAAAAUUUAUCUAACAAAAUGCAAGAUAGAUUUUGAAGGAUUUUCCCUUAUUAGUACUACUAUGCAAUUGUAUGUAAUUCCUAUUGGAAACUUUUUUUUUUGAAUUAUUAUUACUUUACCCCUUUUAACUAUAUCACUACCAUCAAUUUAUCCCGUAACAUUAUCUUUUAAUCACUUUACUUCUAUAGAUAAUUUAACUCAGCACAUUAACAAAUUUUAAAUAAAAAUACCCUUUUAUUUUAUAGCAUUUACUAUAUUGUUAUUAUCGUUUGCUCCCUUUAAAUUAGAGUGAUACAAUCGCUUUACUCUCUAACAUUAUUUUCGAAGCAUUUUACCAUCAUUAACCUAACUAGUAUGUUCAAAAUUUUUUUAAUGGAUUUACCUUUUUUUAUAUAUAAUUAAAAGUAAAAAUGUUAGAAUAGUUAUUCUUCAUUUUUCUUUCAAUCUAAGAGUUCAAAAAAUAUAAAAAUAAAAGGAUUUUCUCAAAUUUCUUUUUUCACACUUAUUAAUAUUAUGAAAAGAAAAUGAGAUAGAAGAGAAUGAGAUAGAAAAUUAGAGUUUGCAAAGAAAGAAAAUAACGAAAAAUCUAGUAUCAUUGUAUUACUUUAAUGUCAUCGAAAUCAGAAUUGGAAUUAGGUGGCAAACAAAUUUUUUUUAAAAUAAUAAAAAUAUUGAAUUCUUUCUUAUUUGUAUUUUUUAAAAAGAGUAUUCAGAUCUAUUUCCCUCUCUUUGUCUCUCUCCUAUCUUUCUAUAUUUUUAAUAUUAAUAAGAUUGUCAAGAAGAAAGAGAUUAAUAUUUUGACUUUUUUUCUUGAUAAUUAAAAGGCAAAAAAUUACUCCAAAUUUUUAUAUUAUUUUUAUUAUACAAAGAGGAAGGUACUUUAUUUUAAAAUUUUUAAUUUGCUAAAUUAGUUUAAUGGUAGGAUAAAUUGUCUAAAAAAUAACUUUAAGGGGUAAACUGAUAAUAGGUUUAUUAGGAUAAAUUGAUAAUAAUUUAAGAAUUAAAUAUGUCUUUUCAAUUGAAUUGGUAAAUUUUGUUAAGUUUGAUCGUUAGUCUUGACUCUUGAGUGAUUAAAAAUUGAUAUUAAAGGGGAAAUUAGCACCAAAUACUAAAGUGAUUAAAGCGAUAAUAACCCUUUUUUUUUAAAAAUGAAAACUGAAAAUAGAAAAAUGGACUCGUGGGAGGCACCGGGGUGGGGGAGUCGGUGGCAGUGCACCAUCAAAAUAACAAAACAAGCACCUAGGAGGGACGGAGAGAAAAUCAUCCCGAGUCUUUGAUACGGAGCGGUGGGUUGUUUUUCUAAUUUUUUGGGAUCGAUCGGACGGCCAGAUCUGACCUUUUUGUUUGCUUGUCCUUCUUCUUCUUCUUCUUCUUCUUGUUAUUGUUGUUGUUCCUCCUCUGCUGCUGCACCAAUUUAUGGCUUCCCCAACCCAAACACCCUCUUUCUCUCCACCUCUUAUUCAAUCUCCACCAUUACACCUACAUUAAUUCCUAUCAUCCGACCUACGCCGUUAACGCUUCAUCCAGAUCCACAAUUCCCAGAUUCCGCCUUUCUCUGCUCUCUCCCAACCCAACAAAACCCUCCAUCAUUUCACGCCCCAAGGUUUGCCCCCCCACCCUUCCCUCUCUUUUUUUGUCUUCUCCUUUUUUUUUUUUCCGAUUAGAUGUUUUGGCAGGCCUCUUAUGAUUCGCAUUCUCCAUAAUUCAUAUUUGGUAUCAUCAUCUUCUUCUUCUCAAUUCUCAUUCAUCUGCAUUGUUGGGGUUAUUGCUUAUUUGUACAACGGUUAUAUACUCUCUCUUCUUUUUCAUUUAAUUUCUUCUGUCUCUUUCUUGUUUUGCAGUUUUGGUAUUUGCAGUUUAGAAAAGCGCCAAGCAGGAGGAGGUUUGUUUUUCGCUUCUGGACUCCUUUCUCCUCCGUUCCUCCUCAACUUUCAGCUUCUGUUUGAUCUCCCAUUUUUCUCGACUUUCGAGUUUUUUCCGUCUUUCCCUGCCGCUGCCUUUGCUGCUAAACACCCACCUCCCUUUUGCCAGAAUACCAACCACCACACUCUAAGGAAUACCACAACAGCCGAGAGGUCAGCUCUGUGUAUUUCUUCCCCUUGUAACCUACCUCCUUUUCCGGGGUGCUUCAGUAUCUGCUGCUUUUCCACAACAAACCUCAUUUCUUUUAUUUAAAUUUUAGGAAUAAAACAAGAAUUUUUUUUCGAUUUCCUUGAUUUUUUGUGCGAGCAAGUUGAUAUAUGUGAUUUGAAAAUCGGGGGAAAAAUAAAAGCAAUGGUUCAUUGAGCAUGAAUAUGUUGGUUUCUCCCUUGCGUACUUUUUGUCCUUGCUUCUUUAAGUCAAAUGUGGACGGUAACUUGGACGGAAAGUCCAUCCCCAAUAAUGGGUGUCCUCCGGGAUUUUGUACCAAAUGGCGGGGUAGUGUGUAGAACACACGUAUUGGGUAGUCAAUUUUGUAGUUAAUCUCUGCUCUAAAUCUUCUGCUAUAUUAAUGUGUUGUUUUAGUUUUAUCAUAUCCGAUGCGUCUCUGUUGGAGGACUGCUAUUUAUGACAUCGGGCAAACCAUUGCUAUCUUCAUCUGAGCCACCUGACCUUUAUUCUCAUCCUCACCUCCUUAAACGUCAUACUACCUCAUCACCACCUUCCUCAGCAGCAGCAGCUUUUGACGACCCACCUCAACAUACCAGUAGUAUUACCACUCUGUACACUUUGAAGGAGGACGAGUUGGACUCCAAUUUUUCCCCACUUAGACGGAUAGGUUUUCCUGACGAAUCUGUUCGACAUCCUGCUGCCACAAAGGGGAAGGGGUUCCGUUCCGCUGAGCUUCGGUUCCACCGGGAAUUUCAAGUGGAAUGUCCUUGGAGAGAGAGGAAACGCCUGGUUUCGUGGGGUGGAGCCAUGGAUGCUCACCAUGAUAUCGCUUCCUUUGAAGUUUCUUCAGUGCAAUCCCCGGUGGCUUCAUCUCAGUCAACUUCUACCAGAGCCACCCAACUUGACUUGUCUAGGGCUUCAUCUCGGGUUCAGGAUAAGUUGAAUAAAUCUCAGAGGAGUAGACACAAGAGCAUGCAGUUGGAAGAUAACGUAAUGCACCAUGAUAACCCUAGAUUGAUCCACAUUAAUGAUCCAAAGAAGACUAACCAUAAAUUUGAGUUCUCUGGGAAUGAGAUUCGAACCAGCAAGUAUACAAUUUUAAACUUUCUGCCUAAGAAUCUCUUUAUUCAGUUUCACCGUGUUGCCUAUUUAUACUUCCUUGCCAUUGCCGCACUGAACCAGCUUCCACCUCUUGCUGUUUUUGGGAGAACAGUCUCUCUUUUUCCUCUGCUUUUUGUGCUUUCUGUAACAGCUAUAAAAGAUGGUUAUGAGGAUUGGCGAAGGCACAGGUCAGACAGGAAUGAAAAUAACCGGGAGGCUCUAGUGCUUCAAGCCAGUGAAUUCCAACAUAAGAGAUGGAAAAAGAUGCAGGCUGGUGAGGUUGUGAAGAUCUGUGCUGAUGAGAGCAUUCCUUGUGAUGUGGUGCUGCUUGGGACCAGUGAUCCAAGUGGAAUUGCUUAUAUACAGACAAUGAACUUGGAUGGGGAGUCAAACCUGAAGACCCGGUAUGCUAGGCAAGAAACAAGUAAGUUAGUUCUUGAAGGGACUACCAUUUCUGGGGUUAUUAGAUGCGAACAACCUAACAGGAAUAUAUAUGAGUUCACAGCCAACAUGGAGAUAAAGGGCCAAAGGUUCCCACUAACCCAAUCAAACAUCAUUUUGCGUGGCUGUCAGCUGAAGAACACAGAAUGGGUAAUUGGCGUGGUGGUUUAUGCCGGACAGGAGACUAAAGCUAUGCUAAACAGUGCUUCAUCUCCAUCUAAAAGGAGUAGAUUGGAGACCUACAUGAAUCGAGAAACUUUUUGGUUGUCUGUUUUCCUCUUAACCAUGUGCCUGGUUGUUGGAAUAGGGAUGGGUCUGUGGCUUAAACGCCAUAAGAAUCAGCUUGAUACAUUACCUUAUUACAGGAGGACUUACUUUCCAAAUGGAAAAUCUCCUGGCAGGCCAUACAAAUUUUAUGGGAUUCCGAUGGAGGCCUUCUUCUCCUUUUUGAGUUCUAUAAUAGUUUUCCAGAUAAUGAUACCCAUAUCUCUCUACAUCACCAUGGAGCUGGUUCGGUUAGGACAGUCAUAUUUCAUGAUUGGUGACAGGCAUAUGUAUGAUAAUAGCUCCGGUUCAAGGUUCCAGUGCAGAUCCUUAAAUAUUAAUGAGGAUUUAGGUCAAAUCCGCUAUGUAUUUUCUGAUAAGACGGGAACACUUACUGAAAACAGGAUGGAAUUCAGAAGAGCGAGUGUUUGCGGGAAAAGUUAUGGCAGGUCCCUUUCGAUGACUGGGACAUUGGAGGGCACCAAUAUAGGAGGUAUAACUAAUACAUGUGAUUUAUGUUCUGAAUACAUACCUAAGUUUGUUGAACUUUUUCUAAUUAUUAUGUCAUUCUCCUUUUUUUUUUGGCCAAGAUAGUAUGUGAAUGCAUGUUUUGAAUUCAUAGAAAUUUAAUUAUUCAAAGUGCUUUAUGUUCAAUAUGUUAAUUUUUCUGUGAAAAGGGUACUUUCAAUAUGCAUUUGACCUGAAUGUUUGAGUCCUGGAGCAAUCGGAUUAGGAGGUAGCAUGCCUGAUAAUGAUAAGUGGCGUAAUGAAUACUAGACCUGCACUUAUAGGAGCUAUUGCCUUCGUUUGGACCUUUUUGAAUAUUCUUUAAACUUGAAUUUGUGAAAUCUUCUGUGUAUGACUUAAUGAAAUUUACGCCUCUAUGUUUUUUCCCUGAUUGCUAUAGUAAUGCUUUGUGGAAAUUUAUGUGCUGUGUGGAGCUUCUCUUUUGCUUGGAGAAGCCAUAUAUGCUUAGUUUGUGCUAUUUGCUAAAUGACAACUAAUAUCCAGUAUUACGCAGGGGAGUAGGGGUCUAGCUAACAUGCCAUGGUAAAUGGAUAUAAUAGUUUAACCUUAUAAUUUACCUUGUUCAGUUAUCUUCAUUUAAUUGCUUGUAAUGGGGCUUGCUAAAAUCUCUAUGUCAUAUGGAACUUUGCAACCUUCUUGAUGUAUAACUUAUAAAAUUUGCUUGGGAUCCUUUCUCUAUCAUCUUUGGGCUGACCAGUAGUUUUGCUGCUAUGGAAAGGAGGCUCACCUGACUUGCAGCUUAUCCUGUGGUUCUUUCUGACCUCUCUUUCGGGGAUCAGAAAAAUUUAAUCAUUAUGUUUGAACAGAAUUUUAUUUCAGUAGUGUGUGCUUAAUGUUGUCUCUAAAUGAUUGUAUAUUUUGUUUCAAUGAACUUCUGCAGGGGAACGAAAGUCAGCCCUCCUGGGCCGAAGAAGAUGGAAGCUUAAAUCAGAAAUUACUGCUGAUUUUGAACUACUGGAAUUGUUGCAUAAAGAACUGUCAAGUGAGGAAAGAGCAUUUGCGCAUGAGUUUUUUCUGACACUGUCAGCAUGUAACACUGUGAUUCCUAUUCUUGCUCGUAGUCCAUCUUCAAGCGAAGCAGAAAGUGACUGUUGUGACAAUGUUGUGACCAUUGAUUAUCAGGGUGAGUCACCUGAUGAACAAGCCUUGGUUGCUGCUGCUUCUGCUUAUGGUUAUACUCUUUUCGAGAGGACAUCUGGGCAUAUUGUGAUUGAUGUGAAUGGUGAGAAACUAAGGUAGAGGACUUGCUCAAAUCAGGUUUCUUCUUUUACCUGUUUUUAUAAUGGUGACCAUUUCUGCCCCAGAAGUUUAUUUGUUAAUAUGUUUGGUCUUAUGUUGCCUUUUAAAAGAAUGUUGAAGAUUAAAAGAACGAGGGUCUUUGCUCUGAACAUGCCAUACACUGUCUUAAAACUCUAAUUUGAUUGGUGUUUGUGGUGUUGCCAAAUACUCUCACCCCCUUGCUACUUUGCGUAUUCAUUUAUGCUGUAUUUUCAGAGCUAAUUAAUUUUUUUGAUCAUUUGUAGUCUCUGCCAUAUUUUAGGUGUUUGAAUUAUGCCUGUCUGAUAUAGUUUCAUUUGUUAAUGAUGGUCUGCAUUCUUCAAGGGUUCUAAAUUCAUAAGAUGAAAAGUAGAUGGUGAGAUGUAAAAUGGAGGAAAUGGUUAAUCUCUAUGCAUAUUGAGGGUAAAUUGGAUUGGAUGACUGGGAAAACAUGAAUGGUCUUAGGUUUUGUUGACAAUAUGAAUUCAGAUGCAAUAUUGAGCCCUCCUAAAUUGUGUGGCAGGCGAAAAAAAAAAAAUUUGUUGUUUUCUCUCUGCCUUGCUUAUUUUUCUAGUUGAUUGUUCCCUUGCUCUGAGCUGCAGAUUUAAUUGCACUGAAGUGAUGCUUCUUUCACUUAGCAAGGUGGAGAAAAUUUGAACUUGUUACACUUUCAAACUUUCAAGUUAAGCUCAACAUGGUGUGUUGUGAAUUUGACUUUCGUAACAUAGAUUUAUGACUCCUGGUCAGAAGUUCAUCAUAAUUGCUGUUUCUCUGGCUAGGUGUUGCUAUCUUCAAACUGGACCUCUAAUUCUAUUAAGCCAUCUUCAGCUGGGUAUAACAUUUUUCCCAUGUGAAGAAGGAUUACGUUGUGGUGACUUGUCACUCAUACCUAAGAAGAAUGACCUCACACUCAUAAAUAGGGCCUAUUAUCAGUUGCUUUUAGCUUUUUUAUGCUGAUUAUGAAUUAUUUGAUUUCUGACGUGUGUAUUUGUCUUUGGUAACGUAGAUGUGUGAUUUGCAGUCAGAAGUUUAUCAUAAUUACCUUUCUCUGGCUAGGUGUUGCUACCUUCUAACUGGACCUCCAAUGCUAAUAAGCCAUUUUUGAGUUGGGUCUAAAUUCAUUUCCAUGACCUCGCAAGUGCAAAUAUGGCCUGUUGUUGGUUGCUUUCGACAUUUUAUGCUGAUUAUGAAUUAUUGAUUGCUGACAAUGUGUUGAAAAAAAAUUGAAAGCAUUUUUCUCCUUCUAGGUGUUUUUAAAAGCUAAAGCUGUGAUUAAACCUCAAGGCCUGCUUUGCAUAAUCGGCUUAUAAUAAAUGAGAAGUCAAAAGUAAAGAAGACCAUCUCAAAAAGCUUCUAGCUUUAAAGAAAAUUACAAUGAGUUGAUUAUAAGCACCCCAGAAUAGGCAGAUGGCAAAUUAGCCCUGCCAAGUACCAAUCUCUUUCUGAAAAGUGGGGUUGUUUGGGCUCUCUAGAUGCCACCUUCGAUGUCAAACUGUCAUUGACUGUUGGUAUUAAGAACAUAAAUAGAUGGAAUGCGCUAUUGCACUUGGGUUACCAAGAUUAAGUCUCUAUUACCCAAACCUUGUCCAAUUAUAGAUGUCAACUACCCCUGACUUCUUUUCUAUUUAUGCGUAUUGUGGUCUUUUUCUACAACUACUGUGUUUCUUUUUUGCCUUCUUAUUUUUUGGCCUUCUCAUUUAGGUUAAUCUUGUUUUUGUAGCUUAGUCUAUCUUAUAAUGUCCAUGGAUAGUGCAGGUUGGAUGUCCUGGGUUUGCAUGAGUUUGACAGUGUGCGUAAAAGAAUGUCUGUGGUUAUCAGAUUUCCAAAUAAUGAUGUCAAGGUAUUGGUGAAAGGGGCUGAUACGUCGAUGUUCAGCAUCUUAAGGAAAGAUGCUGCAACGGAUGAUCAUAGAAGACAUGCAACUCAGAGUCAUUUGACUGAAUAUUCAUCUGAAGGCUUACGUACCCUCGUAGUUGCUUCCAGGAAUCUUUCAAGCGAAGAGCUUAAGGAGUGGCAAUGCAUGUACCAAGAUGCUAGCACAUCGUUGACUGACAGAACUAUAAAGCUGCGUCAGACAGCAUCACUUAUUGAAUGCAACUUAACUCUUCUUGGUGCCACAGCUAUUGAGGACAAGCUACAAGAAGGUGUUCCGGAAGCUAUCGAGUCUCUGCGACAGGCUGGAAUAAAAGUGUGGGUACUUACUGGAGAUAAGCAAGAGACUGCAAUUUCGAUCGGUCUUUCUUGUAAGCUAUUGACGGCAGAAAUGCAACAGAUUAUAAUAAAUGGAAAUUCAGAAAAUGAAUGCAGAAAACUCUUGUUUGAUGCAAAGGCCAAAUAUGUUUUGAAAUAUCGCAAUAACCAGGAUUUGAAAUGGACAAGAGAUGCAGAAAGAGACUACCUUGAGAUUCCUGUUGAUAUGAAGUUUCCGAACUCUCCCCAGCAGCACGGUGGACUGGAAGAAGGAUCUUUACAUGCACCUUUAGCUCUCAUAAUUGAUGGGAGUAGCCUGGUAUACAUAUUGGAGAAGGAUCUGGAAUCUGAGGUAUGAAUUCUUCUUGAUCUUUUUAAAGAUUUAAUGUGAUAUUUUCAGUUGUGUGUGAAGUUUUGACCAUGUUGUAUUUUUAGUGUUUAUUUUCAGAUUUCCUUGAGUUCUAUGGACAGUUUCGUGAGUCGGAAAUUUGCUUACUACUCUCAUAAUGCUAUCUUACUUGGUAUUGUUGCUAAUGUUUCUACAGUUAUUCGACAUUGCAACUGCAUGUAGGGUUGUGCUAUGCUGUCGUGUUGCGCCUCUGCAAAAGGCUGGGAUAGUUGACCUAAUUAAGAGUCGGACUGAUGAUAUGACUCUUGCAAUAGGUGAUGGUGAGUUGAUUAUUUAAGAUAAUUUCUUUUUUGGUUUUAAUUUUUGUGCUGUGGAACCGAAUUAUCAGUCACAGGAGAUUGUGUGUUUACUUGUUUAGUUUUUUGUUUCUACAUGGGAACUGAUAAUUUUGCUUUGCAAGACUGAAUUUAGCGAUCAAGGUAGUCUUAACUGCUUUUCCUGUGUGGUGUUUUAAUUUAGGUUGGAUAGGAUAGGUUUUGUAGGAGGAUAGAAAAGGUAAGUAAAAGCUCCAAAGUCUUAGCAAGGCCUACCAGAAUAAUUAAACCAUUUAGGUUAAUUCGCUUGUGCCUGGAUCCAAUUUUUUCUUUUUUGGCAGGGGCAAAUGAUGUUUCCAUGAUCCAAAUGGCGGAUGUUGGUGUUGGAAUAUGCGGUCAGGAAGGGCGUCAAGCAGUGAUGGCAUCAGAUUUUGCUAUGGGACAGUUUCGCUUUCUGAAGCGCUUGCUUUUGGUGCAUGGGCAUUGGAAUUAUCAACGGAUUGGUUUUUUGGUUCUCUACAACUUCUACCGAAAUGCUGUUUUUGUACUCAUGCUUUUCUGGUGUGUCAAGUUUCUCUUGGUUGUGUGUUGUGUUCUUCUUGUCCUUUCCAUCAAUAUAUUGAAGUCCCUGUUCAGAAAUAAUUUUUUUUCUUCAAAAUUUUGACUAUCUUCAUAAUAACUUCUGAGAAAAUUGGUAACAAGCUUAAAGAGUAUUUGACAGAACAAGCUUGUGAAAGCUGACCUGCUGCAUAUGCUUACUUUUUCCUAAUUGUGGGAAAAUUUUAAUUGAUUUUUUGUGAUGCUUUUUUACUUUUCCAUUGCCAAUUAUUACUCACAUCAAUGGUGUGGAUCAAUUGGCUACUGUUUCUUUCCAAAUAACUAAUCUUUAGAUUUGUUAAAUGCUUUCUUAUUCAUUUGACUAAUCUUUUCCAUAUGCUUUCUGAUAAAAAAGGAGGAAAGGGGGCUGUGGUAGUUCGGACUAGGGUUUGGAAAAUGCUAAUGGAGUAGGAUUGUCAUGAUUUGUUAAAUUGCUUGCGAUCGGGUGUUCCCCGCACUGUGUUGACUAUUUUAUCGUGCGUUAUGUUCUUGAGUUUCAUGGUUGGAAUGACUGCCAUCAUUAUGAUUUUUCUUGAUUCUUGUCUGGAUGAUUGCUCUUGCUAUACAGGACAUCCUUUAGUUACCUUCAUUUUGCUACAAUUUCCAGGUAUAUAUUGUGCACAGCAUUUUCGACUACCUCUGCCUUGACAGACUGGAGUAGUGUAUUUUAUUCUGUUAUCUAUACUUCUGUGCCUACAAUUGUUGUUGGUAUUCUUGACAAGGAUCUAAGUUGUAAGACACUACUCCAGUAUCCUAAACUCUACGCUGCAGGCCACAGACAGGAGAGUUACAAUAUGCGCCUCUUCUGGCUCACAAUGAUUGACACACUGUGGCAGAGCCUUGUUCUUUUUUAUGUGCCUUUGUUCACCUAUAAGGACAGCAGUGUUGACAUUUGGAGUAUGGGUAGCUUGUGGACUGUUGCUGUUGUUAUCCUUGUUAAUAUUCACUUGGCAAUGGAUGUUCAGCGAUGGGUAAUAUACACUCACCUUUCCGUAUGGGGUUCAAUACUCAUCACUUAUGGCUGUGUUUUGGUAUUGGAUUCUAUACCUACAUUCGCCAAUUACGGGUUAGUUUAUCUGCAAUCUCAUAGUUGCCAAUUACACAACGGACAAUUACAUCUCUGGCAUUCUAUAGUCUCAGACCUUUUCACUUGUAUCUUUGCAGCACAAUAUACCAUCUGGCAAAGUCGCCUAUGUAUUGGCUCUCCAUUUUGCUUAUAACAGUUCUCGGAUUGCUUCCCCGCUUUGUUCUUAAAGUUAUAUAUCAAACUUUCUGGCCUUCAGAUAUCAUGAUUGCUAGAGAAGCAGAGAUACUGGGAAAGAGACCUUGUUAUCUUGGAUCAAGGCGAGAUCAAGGCUCAAGCUGACUUGUCAUCUCUUGGGUCAAUUAACCUUGUUUUGAUAGAGCUUCUCUUCCAUUUGUUGCAUAUGUGGCUUUACCCAUGGAAUUCCAGAGAAAAGGUGAUGUAAGAGCAAAUAUCUAGUUUUGUCAUAACCCUUUCUCAUGGAGAACAGUAUUUAUGCAAUUAUGUCAUCACUUCCACGGCAAAACCUAACACUGAUUAAACAACUAGUUAACUAACACAGCAUUAAACAUGGUGAUUCCCAUCUAAACUGGUCUAUUAUUUAUGUGUUUUUAGAACUGCAGCUAGUUUGAAACCUAUAUAUAUUUAUAGGAUAACUUUUCUAUAUUGACACCAAACAUGUUUCUAUUAGUUUAUUAUCCCUAAACCAGUGUUUAAAGUAGGCAGAGUGUGUUUGACCAUUCUUAGGCAAUGUGGUAGUACUGUUUGUAGGAUAUUCCCCAUUAUGGGUCUGCAUAUGUAUUUUGGGUACCCAUGUAUUUAUUUUCAUAUGCUAAGACAAGCAUAUUUCUUUGUAUAAUAUUAUUUUCCACAACCUCAGUGAUCUACUUCUUUUAUUAUUUAGUUUGAUUUCAUAGGUCCAAGAUUGUAUUGAAUGAACAGGAAUUUGGGUUUUCUCAUUGCAAGUGUUUAAUCAAGCAUUUAUAUGAUGGUUGGUCUAUAUUACAAUUGCUUCCUCAGAUGUUGGUCAGUGCACACCUAAGGGAGGCAGUCGUAGUCAAUCAUUGCCAAUAAGUUCUUGGCGGAUUGAAAUGUUGUUAUUAAUUUCAUUAGAUUCCUCAGUUGUUUAAGAUCUGAACUUUGGAUGACUAGGAGUGAUGCAUGAAAGUAUAGUUCGCUUGCAUUUAUUGAAUCAUCAUGACUGGGGAAAAGGUUUCACAAAAGCAAAUGUGUGCAGAAUAUAUUUCCCUUUGGGUCCAAGUAAUGGAAAUGUGAACUGAAGUGGGAACUCUGCAGUCUCGUAGCAGUUGAUAUUGACCUUUUCCUGUUCUAUCUGCAUGAUAAGGGUGACAUUGCAAGUGAUGGGAGCUCAAAAAAUCCAUCCACUGAGAAGGUUCCUUGGCCAAGCACAACUGAACCUAUAGGUCUCUUUUUGGUGAUUCUCAUACACAGCCCUUAGAUCAAUUGAAGGGAUUUGUUACAGUGUCAUUGUCCAGACAGGAGUUAGUACCUCUUUCGCCAUGAAGUUUUAGGAAACUCCUAUUAGAAACAGCAUUACUAAGCAUGGAAAUGUGGUGGACCAGGUCAUUUAGACAAGUACUACCUUGUUAUGAUAACUAACAUGUUCUGUAGUUUUUUUUUAUGUAUGACUGUGCAUGUAUGUACACGUCUGUCUUCCCUCUCUUCCCUCUUUUCAACGUUUGGAAUUGGUUUACUGUAUCUUAUUUUUGGCACUUGUUCUGAACUUUGAUGCCUGAUAUUAGAGGGAUAAGUAGAGGAAAUUGACCUCCUAUAGACUCUACAGAAAUUGUUGCUUCCAUUGCAUAAGCUUUGAUGGGCUAACCUUUUCCUACAGGAAAAUCCUGAUGAUUUUGAUUUUUGAAUGUUUCAGAUGAGUUGGUGGACCUGUUGCCACUUGCCAGGUCACAUAAAACCACUGCUCACAAAAUAUGGUUAUGAAAAUUUUAGGCUUGUUUCACACCAAAGGGACGUGUGAUCGUCCAGAUGAGGGCUAGGACUGGAUUGAGGAGAACGCAGUUGAAAACCAUGCUAAUGCCUAGUAGGUGGGGCUGUUGGCUCAAGUGAGAUGCAAUGCUGAUUAUGAGGGAUCAAAAUUUAGGUAAUUUUCUUAAGUUGGGGCAAAGGGAAAUUUAGCCCUCCCCGGGGGUUGGGGGUGGGGCGAGGGGAGAGAGAGAGAGGUGUAGUGUACAGUAGUGUAAUUUAAAAUCACAAGUUGUGUUAAAAGAGCUUAGAUAAACUGUUUGCGUACACCAAAGGCCGACGUUUCAAUCUUAAACAACCUAGUAUAAAGAAAGAAAGAGUGCUUUUUAGCUGAAACUCCCAGUCAGGAGAGAAUGAAGUGGUAUGUAAUUGUUUGUAAAUGGUACUCUGUGGGCGAGCAAGUCCAGAAGGAGAUAAUGAGGUCCUGACGGAUCCCUUUUGCAUGAGGAGCUUACGGGUUCCAGCUCAAUUAAAAAAAAAAAAAAGCAUUAGCCGAUCCAUUCUCCCAACAAAGCACACUAGUCAAGAAGGUUUUGGAGUUGAUCUUUAUUUACGCUCUUUCCUUCUUCUUCUUCUUCUUUGAAGAGGGUGCUUUCCGGGGUAAACCAAGUAAUAACAUUAUUGAAAUUUCUUUCUUUGCGCGUGUAUUCCAUUCGGAGAUGUGCUGGUUACGCAUGUUGAAUAGUUGAUACAAUGCACUGUAUUGUUGUAUAACAAUGGAAGGGAGUUAAGGUUUGAAUUCUUAAUCUUCCAUUCCACCAGAACUUUUUAAGCCAUUGAAUAAUCCAAACGGCUAUUGGUUGACAAAAAGAAGAUACUAGUAAGCCAAGCUUUGCGUUUUUGACCCACUGAGGACUUAUUUGAAGCCCUCUAGUCUGUUGUUAUGCGACAUGCUAGAGAUGAUGAAUCAAAGUUGUAUGUUGGACAAGCAGAUGGUGCAAUAUGGACAUGUUGUGGAAGCUGAGUCUCUCUCUCUCUCUCUCUCGUUUUUGUGUGGGGGGCGGGGGGGCCGGGGUCUUCCUAUACGUUAGAAGUGGAAUAUUGUCGAGUUAGCAACGGAAAUGUAGCAUUUGUAGGAGUAAAGCUCUACGGCUACUUGUAGAUAUGUAACUUGACGCUGUUAUGUGUUUGUGAACUUUGUCAUUCUUUGCCAUCUUAAAAAGAAUCUCUGCCGAAGAAGAAUCUGAAAAGGAAUUUUUGUAGUUUAGUUUUCGUAAAUGAAUCUAAUGGGAAAGCGGGAAAUGGGUUAAAAAAGUAUGUAGUCAGUAGUCAGGAUGAUUUGGGAAAAGAGGGGGAAAAAAAACAUGUGAUUCCGCCAAUGACUUCAAUAGGAGGUAUAUUAUACAAGCACUACAUCCUCUACCAUAUAAAAAAUACGUAUGUGUAUAGACACACGCCUCUACAUGGUCAAUAUCAUGAUAAGGUGAUUAAUUAAUUACUUUGCUUAUUAAAGGUGCCGUAUUAAUACUUGUAACACUACAACGACUACUGGAUGAAUACUAAAUAACAUUUUGCUGAACUAAAAUGAAAUAGCGCUUUCCUUUCUAGCAUAGUCCGUACCGAGGUUGGCACCAUGGUUCAAAGUCGCGGUCCGGAUCGUUCCACAUUGAUUUCAGUGAGACGCAAAUUUUGAAGCAUUUAAUAUUCUAAAAAGUAUGAAUAAUAUUUAAAAGUAUGUUCAACAAAAAUAAUAAAAAAUUAGAAAAAAAAUCAGUAAAAUGUAAAUUUUCUAGUUGACUCGGAAUGAUUCGACCGAGACUAUUCGUAUCGGAAGCUUUUCGAUUGAGUUUUCGGCGAGUCAAGUAUCUCGGAAUCAUCUCAUCCCGUUAUCGUAUCGGAGAUAUCAUUUUCGGUGACAACUCGGCCAAGACUUUGAACCAUGUGGUUUGGAGGCAAUUCAUGGCAGCUGAGUAUCUAACAGAAAUCAUCGAGCGUAGCGUGCGUGCCAGCAUGAAUUUUAUUACCACUACUAUCAACGGACAAUUAAUACAUUUGUGUCCUCUCACCAGCGACCAGACCGUAAAAUUAGUACAAUCAAUCAUAUGCCUUUCCCAUUGCCCUCCCCCUUCCUUUCAAUGAUUCCGAAAAUCAUUCCUCGACUCUUGAAUCCCUGCUACGAUGUAUCUCAUCUUUCAAUGAUCAACAGACGAGUAAAUUUGAGUUUUUUGAUACCCAGAUAGAUAUUCUCCUUAAUUUAAUUACAUAGCCACCUUGGUCUCUAAAUUUGGAUUGGCAUGAAACUUUAAAUCUGUAUGGUUACUACUAGCGAUUAUUGAUACUGUAAAGAAGAAGGCUCUUCGCAUGGAUACAAUACGAAUACACUCACUCGGUAGUCAGUACUAGUAGUGACUGAGUAGAGAGGUACUAGUUGUUGUUGAUUUUGGAGGAUAAAGAUGUGGCGGGAAAGUCAUGCUCGUAGAGUGCCCCAAGAAGGGCCAGAGAGGAGAGCGCCGAAGGGAUAGGGCCGAACAUCACCCACAAGAGUAGGGGGAAGGUGAUGCACAGGACCCGGUUCCCCACCACUGCCAACCUGAACCCUCUCUCCAUGAUGCUCCGGGUGUACUCCGGGUCCGGGGAGGACGACAACUCCCUGUCCAUCCCCAAGGCGUUCACCAAGAAGUUGGCAUCGAUCAAGCACCCAAGCCCCAUCGCGCUGCACAAGAAGCUGGCCAACAGCAAGAAGGACGCCGACCCACACUUGAGUGCAACGAUCUUCCCCGAUUGUAGCCCCCCCAAAAGUAUACUACUACUGCUGGUGCUGGAAUAUUGCGGUGGCUCGUGAAACCUCAGGCUCGGGAGGAGGUGAUUUGCUCCGUUGAAGGAGUUAUUGGCGAGAGCCGCCAGGCACAGGCUUAUUGUAAUGGUCACAAUAGCCGUCAGUAUAGUCGCCAUUAAUGUGUUUCUCAGACUUUGCACGGCCAGCAUCCCCUUCUUCUCAUCUCCCUGCACCUUGGAAAAGAACCCAACCCAAAAAAAAAAAUAACAAAAAUGAGUCCUGACAGACUAUAUAUAGUACACAAGUACUACAACUUCACUCGCUAGCCAGUAUUAGAUAGAGCAGUAAAAAAAAAUAUAUAUAUAUGGUACUACCUCACGUAAUGGUUAAAUGAGUGAGUGACAAAAAAAUAACUAGCAAGCACGGGAUGAUAUGAUAACUCUCUAAUAAUCCUCCUGAUAGUAGCAGUAGCAGUAGCAGUAGAAGUUGUUUUGGGAGUAUAUACUAAAUAGGUUUUGCUUGCCUGGUUGAGCUGUUGCAACCAAGAUCUUCUUUUGAUGGAGUUGAGGCCUAUGGUGGCAAGACAGGGUUUAUGCCUCAAUCUGUGCCAGAGAUAAGCGUGGUAGCCGAUUGUAAGGAAGAGGGUUGUGGGUACUAAUAUGACAUCCAACAACAGUAUCACUCCGGCAGCUCCCAUGUAGAUGUAGAUGCGCGUUACGCUCUAGUCGGAGUAUUUAUUAUGUUUCUUGCGGAGGCGGUCGGUCCGUGAAAUGGAGAGAAGGGACAGCAGAAACGUUGAUUAGCCAGCCGCUUCCAGUUUUCAGCACAUAACACAUUCAUUCAUUCAUGGAUUGAUAGUUUAGUUGAAUUAGUAAUGCCACUUUAUAUGGACGCCUCACACCUCAAAGUCUCCAUCCAAGUGUUAGGUCACUUUCUUCUUCUUAUUAUUCUUUUAAUUUCGAAAAAUCGUGGUGGCAGCAGUUUCAAGUUUGGUUUGGUGGACAUUGAUUAAUGGACACUCUCUACUCUACACAUCGUGGAAUCUGAUUAAAUCUGGAAUUUGCUUUUUCUGAUGAUACGUACGAGCGGACCCGCACUGCCCUCCCUGGUGCUGCUGCAGCCACUUCCCUUUCCAAUAGAAGAAGAAGAAGAAAAAAAAAACGUACCAACCCGCCCGAGUGUCAGUGUCAGUGUCGUGUCAUUAUAUAUAUGUAAGAUAUGCACUAGCCAUCAGAUGAUCACACACGCACUAUUGACUAUUGAGUAUUCUAUGCUGUUUAUUUCUCAAUGCGUACUGCUACUAUAACUUCACAAAUUGUCCUAUUACUAAUUCGCACUGCUUUGUAGUAUUAAUUACUAGUAAUACUUAUCACUAGCUCCUUGAGCACUGCAGUUGUCAUUCUACCGCCAGCCAAACUAGUAUACUCCUCCUUUUUUCUAUUCUUUUCUAUAGGGUGUGUUUGGAUUGAAAUGUUUUGAAAUAAAAUGAUUUGCUUCACAAAUUUCAAUCACCUUCUUAUCUUCCAAUCACCUUUUUAUCUCACAUACAUCAAAUCAUAAAAAGUGUUAUAGUAAUUAUUUCAAAUAAAUCAUCCAAAUAAAUUCUUAUCCAAACAAACCCUAUGUCUCCCAUGAAACUGAUUUUUUUUUUUUUUUUUAAAAAAAAUCUACAUAAAUAAAUUACUGCUUAUGAUUAAUCUACUAUUAAUGGUAAUAAGUAACAUUUCAGCAAAUUAUUUUUUCUAUGUUUUAAUAUUAAUAACUCGUUACCCACAUAUGUGUCUUAUAUCAUCAAGUUUUACUACAAAAGUUGAGUAAAAACACAUAUGUGGGUGUCGUCUACACUGUCUGUAUAUAAAGAGGGCACUUGAGUUAGGAUUUGGUGUCAACAUUUUCUAAAGCAGAACCAUCCCGUGACUGAAUGUGGACUCUUGCUUUUGAAGGGUUAUCACCCUUCAGUGCCUCUGUCUAGUCAAUUAUUAUUAGUCAUUUGGCCCAUUCAACAUCAAGAAUACAACAGAUUUCUUCAAAGUUAAAAAACGAGAGCCACUAAAAAAAAAACAAAUCAAAGAAGAAAAGCAGGAGUUGCGCUGGUGUGGUGACGUUGACGUCGUUCCACGUGCACCCAAAAUGGUUGCACGUUUUUCAUGGCUAAGUGUUGUGGUCCAAAUAUCUCGCUGGUAGCCUGCCAUCAUUAUUUAUAUGUUUUAAUCAUUGAUGAUUAGGGUAUGUCCUGAACACUACUGUUGUGUUCCUUCUCUUCUAUUCUAUGCCUUUUUUUUUUUUUUUUUUUGUGAAAGCCAGAAACUAAAACUGGAAUGCUAAUAAUGCUUAUUAUUAGUACCCGUAAUUGCGAAUCUCAUACUCACACUCCCAGUCAGCCAGGUUAAGAAAGGUGCUACCAUAAGUAGUAUAUAUCAUCGUGAUAUGGAUAGCAUUAGUACUUACAUCGUACACUAAUUUCACAAAUGGCAACUAUUUAGAAAUUAUCAGCCUCACUUUCAAUUUUCAACCUUGGCGCAUGCUUUACCUGAAAAUUGAUGAUGAUAGGAGAAGUCAAAAUAACUUUUGUACUUGCAUUUCUUAAAGUUUAAUCUACCCUCUAAUCUAUUGCUUGGAUACUUAGUAUAAAAAUGAGAUAAUUUUAGAAACCUCCCUUGAGGUUUCUGAAAGUCUCACUCCCCUCCCUGAUAGAAUACUGGAUCCCAUUUCUUACAUCAUCAUCAUGGAUGAAAAGAUUUAAAUACCUGCACAAGGUAUUUUGUAAUUAUCUGGACAAAUUUAGUCAAGUUAGUUAUUAUAAAUAUAGAUUCCUUUAAUUAAUAUCUAGAAUGUCUGUCAUGAAGAAAAAUUCAAGAGCCACUUGGUGAUUGAUGCAUGGCUUAGAAAGCUCCCGGUACAACAAGUCACUUCAAUUAGUCUCUGUAAGCAAUUGUUGAUAUAUGGCAAAGAAAACUUCAUACAUGGUAUAAAAAGCUCUGGAUUCUCACAGUUGUUGAAGAUUCGAUGAGCUCUUUCAACCUCUACCAGUUUAGUCUUUAAGAAUUUUGAAAUUUUUCAAUAUUCCUUGACAGCCUAUGUUGAUAUAGUUGUUGUUUGUGUAUGGUAAAUUAUGCUUAGCUAAUUUUCUGUUUCUCGUAUGACUUGAUCUGUCAGGUCUCUACCAAAUUAUUAUGCUUAGUUGAUUCUAUAUGUUUCUUGUGUAACUUGGGUUGCUUCAUAUGGUAAGAUGCCAAAUCAGUGUGCUUAGCUCACUCAUUCAUGCAUGCUCUAUAAACGCGUGAGAGGUUACAAAUAUGCUGAUUUGUUAUUGAAAGUUAUUAUUUGCCUUUUACCUGUAACUUCACUAAUGCAAGACAAUGGAGGCAUUUGUAGUAUCAAAUUGUUAUUGAAAGUUAUUAGAUUUGAGAUUGUCUAUUUAGUUUUAGGAGAAGUUUCUAACAUUUCGAAAACCUCAAGGGAGGGGAAUGAGACUAUUAGAAACAUCAGGGAGGUUGCUGAAAUUAUCCCUAUAAAUAUUUGGGGAAGUAGAGUGCAAAUGGGUAACAGAGAAUCUCCAGUGCCAGGCGGUAAUUGAUUCGAUUGUUAGUUGGAUUACAAAAUCGAUGGAUUUUAACUCCAUGCCCAGUACUACUAAUGAUUUGUUUUUAUUUUAUUUAUUUUUGGGUGUCCAGACAAGAAAUGAUUCCUUAGCAAAGAAGAAGCGAGACUAGACUUUUCAUUUUAGUAUAUAUAUAUUUUUUUAUUUUUGUUUUUGUCGUGCGAAUGGCGACAAGUGGCCAAGUGAUAGAUUAUCCUCUUCCUCAUCAUCGAAGGGGCUGCUCGUCUCCUACGUAGUACUGACUUGUUCCCAUCGACUGUUUGGAAUAAGCAACUUAAGGAGUAGUCCCAACUUCCUCUGCCCCUCUACAAUUCAACUCUCCCCAGUCCCUUCUCUUUUCAUUUUAUUCCUUCCUCCCCUCGUUCGUUUGCUUUUCUCGUCGCAAUCUCUUAAAAAGGACCGCUUAACCCUUUUUUUUUUUUUUUUUUUUUUGUUCUUCUCUCUUUUUUAUUUCCCCCACUUCUUCCCUUUUUUAAGCCUCAGAAAAUUCAGCGCAAAAUUAUACUUCUCAACUGGGUUGAGUCAUCAAGGAUUUGAUCUUUAUACUGAAUCGCCGACAUUUCUGAUCUGGGUUCGCAUCAAAUUGGCCUAAAGCUCGAUACUUUGGUUUGUGAUUUAUUAGGUUAUCGACCUUCUUGAUAUUUUGGGUACUGCGACAAAUACUAACAAAGAAAGCAUCGGAUUUGAUCCGGGGUUUUCGUGUUUUUAAGUUUGGCGUCUUUUUCUGGAAUCGACGAUGAUGAGGGAAAUGCUAGGACGCUCUCUUGUUGUGUACUUGUUAUGGUUUCUAUUUUUGUUGGGGUCUUGUUCGGGGAGAUUUGUCGUGGAGAAGAACAGCUUAAAAAUCACCUCCCCCGACUCCCUGAAACAAGUUUACGAAUGUGCAAUUGGGAAUUUUGGGGUCCCUCAGUAUGGAGGAACCAUGAUUGGUACUGUGGUCUACCCUAAAGCUGAUCAAAAGGCUUGCAAGAGUUUUGAUGACGUCGAUAUCUCCUUCAAAUCCAAGCCUGGAGGCAUGCCCACUUUCCUUCUCGCUGAUCGAGGGGGUGAGCCAGCUCUUUUUUCUUGUUUCAGUUUUACCCUUUUUUUUGUUUUUUAUUUUAUGUUUGGGGGGGGGGGGGGGAUCGCCUCUCAACUUCAAUUUUCUUCUUUUCGGAUGAAUAACUCCAUUAUGUCUGAUUAUGUUUGUGGGAAUUAAAAUUUUUUUGUUGGUGCGCUUUUGGUCAUUGUUUUUGAAUGAUUUAUUUCUAUUUUACUUUUUGAGUAAACGGCCUCGCUUGCGGUGCUGCAUAGAGUAAUUGCAAAAGUCAAACAAACUUAGUGAGUGCAUGCGAUGUUCAGAGAGUACUAAGAAUGAAAGAUUAUGAUUCAGCUUCCAGCCAGAUAAUUUAGUCAUCAAAUGCCACUAAUUUCCUGUUACUUUGUAGCUUAUUUAUCUCAUAUGCACAUGUUGAUGAAUGAAUUGUGAACGGAGCGCUGAUUGCACAAACGGAUAUAAAUAAUGUGCGUCCCCUUAUUUGUCUGUUUCAUUUUCUGUCUUGUGUGUUUUGGUACAGAUCUGUUAUUACAGUGUAAAUGUGCUCAGGUUGUUCUUAAAUGGCCUAUCUUUUGCCAUGAUAAAUGCUUCAAACAAAAAUUUACGAUGUAAGAAAUAAUGCAUAGUAUUUCUAGUAUUUACCUUAGAAUUCUCCUUAUGUUUUCCCUUUUUUUGGUGUUGGGUUUCGAAGAUUGUUAUUUUACUCUGAAGGCUUGGAAUGCUCAGAAGGCUGGAGCAGCAGCUAUUCUGGUUGCAGACGACAGAGAUGAGCCCCUAAUUACUAUGGACAACCCAGAGGAGGAGGAUGCACAAGCGGAUUAUCUUCAGAGCAUAACCAUUCCGUCAGCUCUUAUUAGCAAAUCUCUUGGGGACAAAAUCAAGAAAGAACUGUCGAAGGGGGAGAUGGUUAGCAUAAAUCUUGACUGGAGGGAGGCUCUUCCACAUCCUGAUGAUCGAGUUGAGUAUGAAUUCUGGACAAACAGUAAUGAUGAGUGUGGGCCCAAGUGUGAAAGCCAGAUUGAUUUUGUUAAAAAUUUCAAAGGAGCUGCCCAGAUACUUGAGCAAAAAGGAUACACUCAAUUUACUCCGCAUUACAUAACUUGGUAUUGCCCUGAGGCGUUUAUUUUAAGCAAACAAUGCAAGUCCCAAUGCAUCAACCAUGGGAGGUAUUGUGCACCAGAUCCUGAGCAGGACUUUAGUCGGGGAUAUGAUGGGAAGGAUGUUGUUUUGCAGAAUUUACGCCAAGUCUGCUUUUUUAAGGUCGCUAAUGAAAGUAGAAAACCAUGGCUUUGGUGGGACUACGUAACGGACUUUUCCAUCCGCUGUCCAAUGAAAGAGAAGAAGUAUACCAAAGAGUGUGCUGAUCAAGUUAUCCAGUCACUUGGUAGGUUCCAUCAGUGAUCAUCAUUAAGCUACAUGUGCUGCUUUUGGAUGUGCUUUGAUUGCAAAAAUCACAUAUUUUCUGACUUUUGAAGUAGAUUUCAAGUGAUUCAUGUUACUUCAUUCAAGUUUCUCUACUGCUUGUGGAUUAUUGAUUCCAUUUGCUGUUCUUUUUCGACAACAUUGCUGGAUCUGAGCCAGGGCCAUGUUACUUGAAAUUGGACACUUGCUUUUACCUCUAGUAAUCUCCAUGCGUGAGAUGAUGGUGCCAAGCAUCUUUUAUAACUAUAGUUUCAUAAUCUUCAUUUGUCUGUUUGUGAUAUGUAUCUAUGCAAUUUUUAGUAGUAGAUUUGUUCGGUUUCUCAGUUUUCUUAUUUCAUCAGUAUCAAUUAUUUUCAGAAGCUGUUAAUUCUUUUUAGGCACUAUAUUUUUAUAGUCCAGUGCAAUGAGGAAUUAGUAAGCCUUUCAAAUUCUAGCUGCUUAUUGUGGCUUGGACAUGUUUUUUUAUCUUUUGUGCUUGCUUAUAUUCUGGACCUCUGUACAAUUUUGAUAAACUAGGUUCAAAGCCAUCCAUUGUUUUGUUAGCACUUACAUAGAAGUUUGAUUUAGCACAUUGCUAUGCUUUUCUGUUUAUUCUAGGUUCCCAAAGAGAGUGUAAUUAGAAUUUUGGAGUUACAGAGACCUGAAUUAAGUCAUCAAAUACUGACGACUUAUAAUGGUCAUUUAAGUCCAUUUUUAAUAAAGUUGAUACUGAUUUUUACUUGUGCGCUUGUUCUUGGCUGCAGGCAUUGAUGUUAAGCAGGUAGAGAAAUGUGUUGGAGAUCCUGAUGCAGAUAUAGACAACCCUAUCCUAAAGGGUGAACAGGAGUCACAGGUUCAUACUUUUGAGAUUUAUUCUAUCAUUUUAUCCCAGUUAUGUCUGUGGAAAAUAAUGAAUUAUCUUGGAAUUUUUUUUUGAAUUCCUGCUUCCAGAUAGGCAAAGGCUCCCGUGGAGAUGUGACUAUCUUGCCUACCCUUGUCAUAAACAACCGGCAGUAUAGAGGUAUGAAUCCUAGAAUGACGUCAUUACUAAGUUAAGCAGCCGUUUCAUAACCUGUUGAGGUAUCCGUAUAAAACAAUCUAACCCUUUAACUUUAACCUGUAGGUAAGCUAGACAAAGGAGCUGUUCUUAAAGCCAUAUGUGCAGGAUUCCAGGAGACCACAGAGCCAGCCAUUUGUCUGACUGAAGGUGAUCUCCUUUAGCAUUUAACUUUUGGGUGCCAUUCAUUCUUGAUUUUGCUUUUAAAGACAAUGGAGUUUUUCAUUUUAUUUGCAUUUUUUUGGUCAAGUUUGAUCCUCGUACUGAUGAUGAUAAUCACUGUUAAAAUUUGGUUUGCACCUGUUUUGUUUAAUAUUGAUGCUUAUUGUAAUCAUCUGUAAGAGGACCAUUAGCAUUUGAGGACACUUUCUCUGAUGCUGCUUUGAUGGGGAGUAGCUUCUUUUAUUUGUUUUUUCUCCUCUUAUAUUGUUGUAAGUCUUGUUCUUUUUGAAGUUACUGAGUUCAAAUUGGUUUGAUGUCUGAUCAAAGGACUAAAUGGUUGGAUAAUAAUGGCGUGAAAUAUGAGAUCACCCAAUGAUUGAGGAUGUUUACAGGAUCGGUGGUCUUCUUGACUGGAACUUACUCAAGUAUCUUUUUGCUUCUUACCUUGCAGAGAUAGAGACAAAUGAGUGCUUGGAGAAUAAUGGUGGAUGCUGGCAGGAUAAGGCAGCUAAUAUUACUGCUUGCAAGGUAAGAUGCUGUUUGUGGAUCCAUUGAUUGAAGGAGUUGUCUUUGUGGACGUUGUAGGUCCUCUAAUUUUUAUGACCCAUAUUUUGUAGGAUACUUUUCGUGGGAGGGUAUGUGAGUGCCCAAUUGUGCAAGGAGUAAAAUUUGUUGGUGAUGGUUACACUCAUUGUGAGGGUAAGACCUAUAGAAGUUUUGAUAUCGUUACAUCUAAAUACGCAUCUUAAGGGACUCAUGGCUUAAGCGUUGCAUGAUUUGUGGGUGCAAUCACCAUAGAAUUGUGUUGUUUGUGUUAAUUUAACAGCUUCUGGAGCACUGCGUUGCGAAUUAAAUAAUGGGGGCUGUUGGAAGGGAACAAAGGAUGGGAAAACAUAUUCCGCUUGCAUUGUAAGUGGUUCUACCUUUGUUAGCACAUGUUCAUUACAUGAUCAGUCAAUUGGACUUUGAAUUUGUUGUUUUCCCCCUUGCUGUCAAUUAAGAAGCAAUUUCUAACUUCUAUAAAGAUAUUGGUAUUUCAUAGAAGUAGAAUGUCAAAUUUACUAUUGCAUGUUGUUUUGUCUUUUGUUUAGGAUGGACAGACUAAGGGUUGCACUUGUCCACCUGGAUUCAGGGGUGACGGAGUUAAAAGUUGUGAAGGUAGGCUUUAUGUUCAUUUUUUGUACAUUGACAGGUUGGGGAUGACUCCUUGAAAGGACAUUUUGUAACCAUUGUUUCGUUCUUGUCUGUGUUGUCAUCAACUUAGUGCAUUAAAGGCACUUGGAAGUAGAUUAACCCUUUUUGCUUGAUGUUUUUAACUGCUCCGCAUGCGGGGCAGUUGGGGGUAAAUAGACCUGGAGCAGAAUUAUCCUUGUUGUAAUGCUUGUUCAAAGCCUCCCUACAAGUCAUAUGCAAUCUGAAUUCCCUUGCACUACUUUGUUGUGGUUUAUGGAUAGUCCUCCAUCCUUCUCUUGGUAAGUUUGCUACGCUAGUUCAGAAUAACAAGAAAAUACUUCAGUGUUGAAUCUUCAUCAAUGGAUUUGUAGGAGGUUUGCAUGCUAAGAUAAUAAUUGAAUUGGUGUCCUUAUUUGGCAAAAGGUUGAUUUUUUUUUUUUUUAAUAUAUUUUUUGCAUCUAAAAGCUUAACUGUUAUAAACGAGAAGCAAUUUAUGCCUUGUUGAAUAACCAGAUUACAGUGGGGGCCUGCCAAAGUAUAUUGGAAAACAAGGAUGUUAUGGCUAUUUGAUAAUCUAACUAGCUUAGAGCAAUUGGAAAACAAUCUAUCUUGUAUUUUGAGGAUUUGCAAGUUUUUUGCAAUUAAAAGAUCAAUGUUGCAGUGACAAAUACUAAUAAGAAUGGAUGUUUUUGUUAAAGUAGUAUUUGAACUGAGGAGCUUAUCCAUGUGAUCCUGUAUGGUACUCCUCUUGAGUGUUGAUAUUUUAUGCAACACAUUUGCCUUUAAUCAGGAUUUCAAGCUGAUUGACUGACUUUGUGAAAUGACAUCAGCUUUAUUACCGUUAAAUAUUUCAUGUGCUACAGAUAUUGAUGAGUGCAAGGAUAGGGUGGCGUGCCAAUGUCCAGAGUGCAGAUGCAAAAACACCUGGGGUAGUUACGACUGCAGUUGUAGGGGCAGCUUAUUGUACAUGCAUGAACAUGACACAUGUAUAAGUGAGUUCUAUAUAUAUAUCUUUCUUUCUUUCUUUUAGUUUGGCAAGCUUUUGCCCAUCUCAGGUGGUAAUGUUUGAAACUGUAUGGAAAGAUUUAUACUGCUCUGUUGUUGACUCUUUUGAUUGUUUUGUGUUUUGUGGAACCUGAUCAUCGCAUUGAUUGACAACUUGCAGGUAAAGAUGUGAAAACGGAUUUCAGCUGGAGCUUUAUUUGGGUUAUUAUCCUUGCUGUGGCUGCUGUAGGAGCAGGUGGAUAUGCUAUGUACAAGUACAGGAUCCGGGUAUGUGCGAAUAACAAAUUGUUCUUUGACGGCGGAUCGACUUUUUUUUUGUUCUUUUCUUGGGUCGCUACUUGUUCUUUUGACCGUGGUGAAAAGAAAUAUGAUAUGAUGGUUGUUUUGCAGAGAUACAUGGAUUCCGAGAUCCGGGCAAUCAUGGCACAGUACAUGCCGUUGGAUAACCAAGGAGAGGUGCCUCUUCAUAAUCGUCAUGGAAAUGUGUGAUGAUGGAGAAAUCAGCAUUUAUUUCUUGAAGGGCCGGCCUACCACUCUCGCUUCUUUCUCCAGUCUUAUUGCUAGUAUGUAUGGUCAUAUUUUAUGUACAUGUAAAUCCUCACUUUGGGCAUAAAAUCCCAGUUGGUGAAUCGGGAGAUUUUCUUUAGUCUUUGUAUGCUUAUACAUUACUUAUACAUAUUAGAUGUUGUGAUGACUUAAUCGAGAUUUCAAACCCUCUUCCCCAAACAAGUUUUCAGUACCUUCUGUCUGUUUUCUGUAAUCCGAUACAAAACUGGUGAAAAAUAGAGAAGAAGAAGAAGAAGAAAGAUGACGACUUGAGGACUGGGUCCGUCUUUUCUAAGCUUCAAUGGGCUAGAAAAUUCUUUUAGGAUAUUUGAUUUGGUUUAGGGUCUGUUUGGUUGGAAGUAAAAUGUUUUCCUUGGGAAAAUGUUUUCCGUGGAAGUAAUUUUUCAUGAAAAUCAUUUCCCUUUCAUCAUUUUCAGGUGUUUGGUUAGCUUAUUGAAAUAUUUUCUUACUUCAUUUUUCUGGUGUUUGUUUAACUUUUGAAAUAUUUUCACUUUUAUCUCUAUCUUUACUUUCUACACAUUAUAACUACAUACUUCUUCCCAUGCAAAAUAAGAAAAUUUAUCUCAUUGUUUAACUUUAAAAAAUCUUGGAGAAAUGUAUAUAUGAAUAAAAAAUAUCUCCUUAAACAAUAAACAAAUUGCUGGCCAUUUAGUGUCAAAUAUCAAUCACAUGCAAUGCUUAUUGUCACAUAUAUCUUGCACUCUCACUGCUGAAAGUUUCUCUAGAAAAGAAUGUCCCUAUUAUACAUAAUUAAUUACUAGCAUAGGAUGAGCAGGAUGAGUUUUUUUUUUUAUUUUGAAUAUACUAGGGGGAGGGGUUGGGUUGGAUUGGGUGGUACGGGGGAGGGAGUGUAAGGAAGAGGUUUUGGGUUCGAGUUCUCCUGUUUACACUAAAAAAAAAAAAAGAACAUACUACAAGAUGUUUUCAGUAAGUUUGGAACGUACUACAGACGGGAUGCAUGCAUUUCGGAAAACAACUUCAGUAAGUUUGGAAGGGAAGUUGUUUUCCAUAAGAUGAGUGAAAAUAUUUUACAUAGGAAAAUGUUUUCAGUAACUUUUGUGCAAUCAAACACGGGAAAUUAGGAAAAUAUUUUCAUUCGAAACAAACGGACCCUUAAUGAAUCUGGUAAAAUGAGAGCUGUAGAUGAUGUAAAUCAUCAACGUAAUCAAUUUGUAAAUCAGAUCAUAUCAUCCCCCCACACGUUAGGAGCCUAAUCGAAUAAUACUAGUAAUUUUGUUUGUACCUUAAAAAGGCAGUGGAAUACUCCCAUGACGGACGGUGAUUUUUCUUCUUCAAGAAGAAGCGUCCUCCGGUCGGUCCAAAUUGUUUUGAAGAGACGCCCAUUUCUUGCCUACGGCUCAGCACACCGCUUCAGAUGGUUCUGCUUCGAUUUCUCACUCCCAACGUUUUAGACUAAAUCUACAGCACUAUUAUUAUUUAUAAUAAUUUGAUGCAUGUAAAAUAAAAGCAUGAUUAAAUUUUUCCAAAUAAUGAGGUAACACAUGAAAAAACCAUUCACCAAGGUUUUUUCUUUUUUUUUUUUUUUAAAAAAAGCAUGGUCAAAUCCAUCAUUAUCACUCCGAUUUAUUCAACGCAAGCAUUAUUUGGAAACAUUAUGAAGAACCCACUUUAUGAGAAUCACCGGAAAAAAGGAAAAAAUCUUUCUAGCUUCAGAAAACUUUUUUGUAUUAUAGCAAUCCAUAGCAAAUAAACCAAGCUUGAAGUAGAUUACAGCUCGAGGACAUUAGUUUCUGGACAUCCUGAUUUACACGCAAAAAGGUAACAAGCCGCUUAGCCGUGUCAGUGUAAGAAAAGAGCAUCCUCCAUUUUAUUUGGGGGGUCAGAGUCGUAUUCUCAAGAGCUAAACAAGGCACAUGAUACGAUCACUUGACCAAAGAACCACUCUGUUAC
rnacentral:lncRNA from 1 species